rnacentral:lncRNA from 1 species
UCUCUAGUAUUUUUAGACCUGAGCUCAAAUAAGUUGCGAGGAGAAAUACCAGGCUGGAUAGGAGAAAGCAUGCCAUCUCUGGAAGUCCUAUCCCUACAAUCUAAUGGAUUCAAUGGAAGCAUACCGCCAAAUCUUUGUCACCUGUCAAAUAUUCUGAUCUUGGACCUAUCUCUAAACAAUAUCUCGGGAAUCAUUCCAAAGUGCCUUGAUAAUUUCACUUCCAUGGUUCAAAAAACAGAGUCAGAACAUUUCCUUUCGAAUAAUGCUGUUCUUACUAGGUAUUACAGUGGACCAGGUAUCUAUGGUACAUAUCAGAAUAAGAUGAGGGUUGGAUGGAAAGGAAGAGAGGAUGAUUAUGGAAACACACUAGGACUUUUGAGGAUCAUUAAUUUUGCAAGAAAUAAAUUAAUAGGUGAAAUUCCAGAAGAAAUAACAGGACUCUUACUGUUGGUUGCACUGAACUUGUCGGGAAAUAAUUUGACUGGAGAAAUCCCUCAAAAGAUUGGGCAGUUGAAACAGUUGGAAUCACUUGAUUUGUCAGGAAACCAAUUAUCAGGAGUAAUUCCUAUCACAAUGGCUGAUCUAAAUUUUCUGGCUUUCUUGAACCUCUCCAACAAUCACUUGUCGGGGAGGAUUCCGUCAAGCACUCAGCUGCAAGGCUUUAAUGCUUCACAAUUUACCGGUAACCUUGCAUUGUGCGGGCAGCCACUCUUACAGAAAUGCCCUGGAGAUGAGACGAAUCAAAGUCCACCUGCUAAUGAUGACAACCAAGGCAAAGAAGUCGUCGCUGAUGAAUUCAUGAAAUGGUUUUGUACUGCUAUGGGAAUUGGUUUUAGUGUAUUCUUUUGGGGAGUUUCAGGUGCUUUACUGCUAAAACGUUCCUGGAGACAUGCCUAUUUCCUGUUCUUGGAUGAAUCAUGGGACUGGCUCUAUGUGAAGGUAGCAGUGUGCAAGGCACGACUUCAACGAGAAUUUCAGAGGCUGCACGAGCACGUUCUUGCUUAGAAGGAUUGCAAGGUAAUAUGGUUAUUCACAUAUCUUUUCUUUUCUUUUUAUAUUGAAGACUAAUGGUUCAUUUUAUACCAGGAGGUGCAGCUGGGUGCAUAACAGGUCCUCUUUGUCCAAGGAGUUCGUAGUGUUUGCUGGAGCUACAUCGUCCUUUACCUUGGCAACUUCAUCGUCGUCUACUACUGCAAGUUUGAAAUAAGGUUGCAUUGGAGAACUCUUUGUACAGCUGCUGGGUUUUAUGUGAAACUAUGGAAGUGAUCAUGUAAUAUAUUAUGGAAUCUCAAAGUUGGUUUUUAUAUGAAUUUCAUUUGGAAUGUUUUUGCAAAUAUUUAGUUCUUUACUUAACAGUGUGAAGAUGGAACAUAUUCAUUCUCCAAAUCAAAAAAUUAUGCCAGUACUUGCUUAUUUUGCUACAGAAUUUAAUUAAAAACACAUGUAAUUUACAUUUUUAUUUAUCUGCUUUUGUUGAAUUAUUGGCAUUAAAUCAAGCAAUUAGCAGGUAUUGAAAUUGAUGUUAAUUCAAGCCUAUACAUUUCAGAGAAAUUUCUUCGAAGAUUAGUUCAAAAGGUAUAAAUGUGUCAAUGGUGAUUGUUGAAAAGUAUGCCCAGUCAUAUAAGAAAGGAAGAAGGAGAAAAAAUGGGGUUGCGAUGCAGCCAUUGACGAGUUCCCUUUAAAAGAAUUUUUAAAGGGAUAAAAAGGGAUAAGUGAAUUCCUGUACAUUGAGAAGAACAAUGAUGCAUUCACAUAUUGCUUUCUUCUUUGUUUUAGUCAUUUAAAUAUUUUUUAGUAACUUAAUUUGUUUUUCAUUUUGAUCUUUCCAUACCGAGUGUUUUUUGGAUUGAAUUUAAUAAUUUAUUUUGUUAACUUAAUUUAUAUGAAUUUAUGAUAAUGUAAAAAAAAAUAUUUUUAAAAGUAAGUUGAUGGAUACUAAAAUUGACUCUAAAACAAAAAUUCAGCCUCUUUUUUUUUUCCCCGCAUUAUAGCUAAGGCGUGUUUUGAAGAAUUUUGGGCUCUCAAGUUCUAAUUUUUGCAACUUCAUCCAUUUUUUCUAAGGCUUUUACAUUUUACUUUAAAAAAUUAUUUUUUGUUCACAUAUUAGUUUUCGAGUUGUUGAAAAAUAAAAAAAAUAAAAUUUUUUGUUAGCCAGCCAUUUUUUGGUGAUCAAAAACAUUGUUUUUGAUGUUAAUGGUUUUGUUUCACAAAAAAAAAGUUUAAUUGAAGUAUUUUUUACUUAUCUUGCAAUAAAGAAUAGAUAGGGUCUCCAGAUUUUUUUUUAAAUAAACAUGUAGCUGUACAUACUCUCUGUCUUGAAACUUGAUAGUGUUUUGAAGAGAUCCGGAAACAUUUAUAUCCCUGAAAAUAACAAGUGAGGUCUUCUUGACAUAGAUAUGGCUAUCAAUUGUGCUGCCAUUAACAGUUAUUUGGAUCAAUCUAAGAUUGAUUGUGGAAACAUUAUAGCCAUCUUCUUAGAUGGAAGUGCUGAUCUUCUUAGAUGUCAAUUUAAGAUUCAGCCUUCCAGUGAGGAAGACUUGCACUUCACAUGGAAGUGCUGAUCUUCUUAGAUGUCAAUGGAAAUGACUAGAAAGUUGAAGCAUCUUCUUAAAAACACUGAUGACCUGAAAAAUCUUUGUCUAAAAGUAAGGGAUCCGCACUAUCAGUAAAUGGUUUUUUUCCUAUGAGGUUCACUUGGAGAGCACACUAGGUAGGUAGCCCGUGCUGCACCGCGAGUCAAUCUUUGUUUUGUUAUAAAAAAUGUCAAAAAAGAUAAAUAUUUUUUAAAACAUAAAAAAAAUAUAAUAUUUAAGUAAUUGACUCGAAUGAGUUUAAGAAACUCUGUUAAUUUAAUAAUAUUAUUGGAAAAUAAAAUAUCGACAACAAAACAAAGCAAAAAAAAAAAAACAAUAAUUCAAUGCAAAAGAUGCACGCUUGCCAAUAUUGUGAAAAUAAAUAUUCACAAUAUUUCAAAAGCAUCUCAAUGAUCUUAUUUGUUAACAAAAUAAAAAUUAAAUGAAAAUAAAAUAAUUUCAUAGAAAGAAAAAAAAAACAUGAAUAUAAAAAAAUAAGAAAAAAAAAGUCAAUUACUGUUUAUUUUUUAAAGCAUGACCCGGGUUAUAAGACUGAAAACACUAUAUGUGAAAAAAUCAUAAGGGUUGAAAUCACAAAAAAAAAAAAACAACAAAAACAAAUCUAACACAAAAAAAUCCAACAUAAAAAAAUACAACAAAAAUAAUGAAUGUUAAAAUUUCAAUAAAAAAUAAAUAAAAAGGCAACAACUUUUAAAUUUGAGAGUUAAAUUGUAAAAAAAAAAAAACAUUAACAAAAUGACAAAAAUCAAAAGAAUAAAGACAAAAAAAAAACAACGCACUAUAAACUUGGAUUGAAUGGUGAAACUAAAAACAAAUAAACUUUCAUAAAAGAUUUAAGGAAAAAAAUUAAAAUAUAAUAUAAAAAUUAAUAUAUAGAAUUAUUCAAUGUUUUUUUUUACACAAAAAAAACUCCUAGAUAUAAAUCAAAAAACUUAUGCAUGCAUCUAAUUAAACAACUCAAUAACCAUUGUGUAAAGCAAUGAAAAAAAAUCAUAAACAAUAAAAACAAAUUGAGAAAAUUAAGCAAAAAAUAAAGAUCAAGAUAUCUAACAUCGCAAUAUAUAUAUAAUUUACCUGGUUAUAUUUAAUAAAUUUCUCAAUCAAAAUAAAAUUAUAAUAAAAAUACAUAAAAUUUAUAAUAAAAACCGACACAAAUAUAAAAUUUAUUAAACAAUAACUAGCCAUGGAUUUAAUUUUGGUAGCAACGUUAUGCUCCAAUAUCUUUAUCGAAACAAGGUUAGGGUUGGAUGGAAAGGAAGAGAGUAUGAAUAUGAAAGUACUCUAGGACUUUUUAGGAUCGUUAAUUAUUUUGCAGGAAACAAAUUAAUAGGGGAGAUUCCAGAAGAAAUAAUUAACAGGACUCUUACAGUUGAUUGCACUGAACUUAUCAGGAAAUAAUUUGACUGGAGCAAUCCCUCAAAAUAUUGGGCGGUUGAAACAGUUACAAUCACUUGAUUUAUCUGGAAACCAAUUAUCAGGAGUAAUUAAUUCCAAUGAAAAUGGCUUAUCUAUAUUCCAUCAAGCACUCAGCUGCAGAGCUUUGAUGCUUCGUUAUUUUCUGGUAAUGGCUGCCACUCAAACUAAAAUGCCUAGCUCGGAGAUGAGACGAAUCAAGGUCCACCUGGAGGCAUGCCUGUUUCCGGUUCUUGGAUGAAUCAUGGGAUUGGCUUUAUGUGAAGGUAGCAGUGUGCAGGCACGGCUUCGAAGAAAAUCUCAGAGCUUGUAUCAGCACGUUCGUUCUUAGAAGGAUUGCAAGGUAAUAUAUUUUCUUUUUCUGUUUCUUUUUAGCACAACAAUCCAUGAGACUAAACCUUUUAUAUUGUAUAUAUUAAUGGUACGUUUUCAUGCAUUCUGGGUUUUCCCUUUUCAUUUUAUAGCAAGAGCUUCAGCUUGGUGCAUAAUAGGUCCUCUUUUGUCUAAGGAGUUCGUAUUGUUAGUGUACGUGUUUGCUGGUGCUACAUCAUUCUUUACCUUGGUGUCUUCGUCGUUGUCUACUACUACAGGUUUGAAGUAAGGUUCCAUUGGAGAACUCUCUGUACACCUGCGGGCUUUUAUAUGAAACUAUGAAAAUGAUUAUGUAAUAAAUUAUGGAAUCUCAAAGUUGGUUAUUGUGAUCGAAUUUCUUUGGUUAGGAAUGUAUAAUUUUGUUGCUUAACUUCGUGAAAAUGUUGUCGUCACGUAUGUAGUUCUUUGCUUAACAGUGUGAAGAUGGAACAUUUUCAUUCUCCAAAUUAAAAAUAUAUAUAUGUAAUGCCACAUGCUUAUCUUGCUAUCUCAGUAAUAAAUUCGCAGUAAAGCAAACCUCCUGAGAUUUGCAUUUUGUUCUUUUUGUUCACAGCCGGAGCUGCCUAUUGAUGGUGCGAGAUAGAAACUGAAACAGCAAAAACACCUCACCCACACCAUGCAUCAUUUUAUUCCAUUCACUUCACUAUUCUGCACAUUUUCUCUCCAAAGCAAAGCUGAAUUUGCUCAGAGGGGAGAGAGAAGAAAAGGAGAGAGAGAGAAAGAGUAACUGAGGACAAACUGCAGCUCUGUUUCCGACAUACCAAUUACCAUUGAAAAGAUAUAAACAAGAUGAACUUGAUGAGACCGUAGAAGACCAUCAAAAGUGCUCAAAAAAGGAAAUUUCAUCAAAAUUGUUAAGAAUAGACAUAACCCGUAUUUGAUUUUAAAAUCUAGAUAUCAGUUUCUUUUUAAAAAAAAAGACGUACAAAAAAUAACUCUUAUCCCUAAAAAAGAAGAUUUUAUCGAGGCUGUUAAAAGAAUGGGGUGUUAGACCCAUAUGGCCGAUAAGAAUUGGGUUUGGACUCCAGGAGAUUUCAUUUCUUCUUGCUACAAACUUGUAGUUGUACAUACUCUCUGUCUUGAAACUUAUAAUGUUUUGAAAAGAUCCGGAAACAUUUAUAUCCUCUGAAAAUAACAAGUGAGGUCUUCUUGACAUACAUAUGGCUAUCACUUGCAGCUUAGGAAAAUUGGGGGGAUUGCAUUGUUUAGGUGAUUGGUGAAAUAUUGUAUGUCAGUGUGCUAAGUCUAUUUUGAGAAUCCACUUUGAAAUUUUUUGAGGUGGUUUCACUCUGCGCAGGUAGUUCCAGUUUCCAUCUAUGCGGGUACGCGAAGCUGCUUAGGAAAAUUGGGGAAAGGACUAGAAAACCCUAAUGCAACGAUUCAUGUGGUAAGCCAGAUUUAGUUAAAUGGAUUCUGCUAUGUGUUCGAAACCUGAUAACUAGUUUCUGUUAGAACCCCAACAAUCCUGAGUCCGAACGUUUUCCUCCUUCCUGUAUAUGUGCUGCUUAAACUAGACGGCUUGACUUGCAAUUUAAAGUGUUUCGCAGAUGGAAACAAUAAAUGCAAUUAAAAAGAAAUUAACAAAGUGGGACAAGAAAAUCCAAGAAAUAGAUUCAGCUUCCAUAGAAAAUGAAAUAAAAAAGAUCGAGAUGGCUAUAAUGUCUCCACCCAGACCAUAAGUUGAUGCGGGAGAGAAUGUCUAUCAAAUAAAGGAAAGAGAAAACGUGUGGGCUAUUGAUGACCAUGACCAAGACUUGAAGCUCUUAAUAAUUUCCAUUAAGGAAGACAUGCACUUCAUAUGCAGAGGGUGAUGGUGUUUGAGAGUAUAGUUGUCAUUCCUUUUCAAAUAAUUUUUGGUACUGAAAUGUAUUAAAAUGAUUUUUUAAAAAAAAAUUAUUUUUGAGAUCAACACGUCAAAACGAUCCAAAACAUACCAAAAAAAUUAAUUUUAUGCAAAAUAAAAUAAAUUUUUUUAGAAACGCGAUUUGCAAGGCGUUCCCAAACGAACACUGUGCUGAUCUUCCUAUAUGUCAAUGGAAAUGACUAGGAAGCUGAGGCAUCUUCUUAGACAAAAUAAUCUUGAAAAGUCUUUGUCUAAAAGUAUGGGGUACUCACAAUUAAAGGAUGAUUAGUAGUAUAGUAGAUGUUUUUUUUGUUUAGAAAUGUUUAAAAAUAAUAAUUUUUUAUUUUUAAAAAAUUAUUUUUGAUAUUAAUAUAUUAAAAUAAUCUAAAAAUAUCAAAGAAAAAUUAAUUUGAAGUGAUGAAAAACAUUUUAAUUUUUUUGAAAUAAUUUUUUUUAGAGAAACAAUAAAUGGUUUUUGCCUAUAAAUUAAGGUUAUAGACCACAUAAUAAGAUAAAUAAGAUAUUUGAACCAUUAAAAUUAUUUUUUUCACGUGAUAUCUUAACCCGUUGUCUUAAACAAAUAAUAAUAAUAAUAAAGAAUUUUUGUUUAUCCCAAAAGCUCAUCCCAAUUUUUCAUUUUCCUUUAGCCUCUCUCAUCUCAUUCUUGCAAUUGUACCUUUCAAUGUCCAUCAAAUCUCAAUCCAUUGAUUUCCUUCACCAAUCUCUUAUGAAGCCGACAUGCUGGAUGAAGAACACCAUCACUUUGUCCACAUGUUUUUUUUUCUCCUAAAAUUACUAAUAUGCUAAAGGAGACUUGUAGAGCAUGGUAGCAUCUUCUACUUUUCAUCAACACUCAAUAUCCAUGAUCAUUUUUUCAGGGUAUAUUUCGUAGUGUGGUUGUGGUUGUGGUUGCUUUUCAAAUAACUUUUUAUACUGAAAUGCAUGCCAAUGAUGUUUUUUUAUUUUUUAAAAAUUAUUUUUGACAUCAAUAUAUCAAAACGAUCCAAAACAUACAAAACAUAUUAAAUUUUAGCAAAAAAAAAAAAUUAAAUUUUUUGAAAACGUGGUUUGCACCGCGUUCCCAAACGGUUUCUCAGUCUAGCUCCCUCAAGUUUUUAAUCCUUUCUGCUUUGGUCAAUAAAUCUUUUUUUUUUCCUGUUAUGAUGUUUAAAUUAUACCAUUACUUGUAAUAUAUGAGGGAUAUACACAAAUAAUAAAGACAGAAGAGUGAGAAUUAAAAAGAAAUUAAGUGAAAACUUUCUUACUGAUUCUCUCUCUUUUCUUUGUGUUUAUGAAGUAUUAUUAAUUAUAAAAUUAAAAUAUAUAUAUAUCUAUCCAUCUAAUCAUAUACAUCAACCUUGACUGAAUUUUAUGAACAUUUCCCGCGGAGAUAUUGCACACCAAACUGUUGGGGAAGAGCACAGAUAAUUUUAAUUUUUUAAAAAAAUAUUUUUGAAACUCAAAUAAAUAUAUUGAAAUAAAUUUUUUUUAUGGAACAGCAUAAUAAGAUAAAUAAAGUAUCUAAACCAUUGAAAUAAAUUUUUCCAAAUGAUAUCUUCUUAAAUACUAAUCACUUGAAAAGUCUUUGCUUAAAAGUAAUGGGCACCCACUAUCAAAAUAAAAAAGAAAUAUAUCAAAAUAAAAAAGAAAUUUAGAAAAAACAGCAAAUAGUUUUUGCCUAUGAGGUUAAGGCUAUGGACCACAUAAUUAAAUAAAUAAGGCAUCUAAACCAUUGAAAUUAUUUAUUCCACAUGGCAUCUUCUUAAACACACAGAAGACUUGAAAAGUCUUUGCCCAAAAGUAUGGGUCACGCACAAUUCCUUCUAGGAUGUUUAACAAUAUAAUAAAAAUUAUUUUUUAAAAUAUAUUUUUUAUAGAAAUAUAUUAAAAUAAUAUUUUUUUUAUUUUUUAAAAAUUAUUUUUAAUAUUCGUAUAUUAAAAUGAUUUAAAAGCACAAAGAAAAAAAAUUAAUUAAAAUUAAGAAAAUUUUUUAAAAAUACUUUUAAAACACAAAAAUAAAUAUAUUCAAAUAAAACAAAUUAAAAAAAUAGUAAAUGGUUUUUGGUUUUUUCCACACGACAUCUUCUUUAAACACAUUGAAUAAUUCGAAAGUCUUUGCCCAAAAAUAUGGGGCACACACAGGAUGUUUAAUAGCGUAGUAGAGAUUAUUUGUUAAAAUAUUUUUUUAUUUAGAAAUGUAUUAAAAUAAUAUUUUUUAAAUUUUUAAAAAAAUUAUUUUUGAUAUUGUUACAUUAAAAUGAGCUAAAAGCACAAAGAAAAAAUUAAUUUAAAGCAAAGAAAAAAAAUUUAAAUUUUUUUAAAAAUAUUUUUAAAACACAAAAAUAAAUAUAUUAAAAUAAAAAAAAUAGAGAAACAAUAUAUAUUUUUUGGUUUUUUCCACGUGACAUCUUCUUUAAACACAUUGAAUAAUUCGAAAGUCUUUGCCCAAAAAUAUGGGGCACGCACGGGAUGUUUAAUAGCGUAGUAGAGAUUAUUUGUUAAAAUAUUUUUUUUAUUUAGAAAUGUAUUAAAAUAAUAUUUUUUUAAUUUUAAAAAAUUUAUUUUUGAUAUUGUUACAUUAAAAUUAAAAUGAUCUAAAAGCACAAAGAAAAAAUUAAUUUAAAGUAAAGAAAAAAAAUUUAAUUUUUUUUUAAAAUAUUUUUAAAACACAAAAACAAAUAUAUUAAAAUAAAAUUAAUUAGAAAAACAGUAUGUACUUUUUUUGUUUUUUCCACGUGACAUCUCUUUAAACACACUAGACUUGAAAAGUCUAUGUCCAAAAGAAUGGGGCACACAUAAUUCUAGGAUGUUUAACAGUGUAGUGAAAAUUAUUUUUUAAAAUAUUUUUUGUUUAAAAAUAUAUUAAAAUAAUAUUUUUUUUAUGUUUUAAAAUUUAUUUUUGAUAUUAGUAUAUUAAAAUGAUCUAAAAACACAAAGAAAAAAAAUAAAUUUAAAGCAAAGAAAAAAAAUUUAAUUUCUCUAAAUAUACUUUUAAAAAAUAAAAACAAAUAUAUCCAAAUAAAAAAAAUUUAGGGAAACAUUAAAUUGUUUUUGGUUUUUUCAACGUGACAUCUUCUUAAACACACCGAAGACUUCAAAAGUCUGCCCAAAAGUAUUGAGCACGAAGUUUGACUGUAGUUGAGUUUUUUUGUAAUGUUUUUAUUUAAAAAUAUAUUAAAAUAAUAUUUUUUUAUUUUUAAAAAUUAAUUUUAACAUUAACAUAUUAAAAUAAUUUGAAAGCAAAAAAAAAUUAAUUUAAAAUAAAAUUUUUUUUUAAAAAAAUACUUUUGAAACUCAAAAAUAAAUAUAUCCAAAUAAUUUUUUUUUAUGGAAACAACAUAUUAAAUUAAAUAAGGCAUCUGAACUAUUAAAAUUAAUUUUUCCACGUGAUAUUAGUUGGAAUUUUUUUUUUUAUCGUUAUCUCUCUUUCCUUUGUGUUUAUGAAGUAUUAUUAGUUACACUUUAAGUAUUAUAAAAUAAUAAAAAAUAAAAGAAAUUAUAUCCAUCGACCUUGACUUAUAUAUCCAAUAUAAUGACUUAAUUUUAAAUUUUCUUAUUGUUAUCUUGAAGAAAAAGAAAAAAGAGAAUACAAGUCAACUUAAAAUUUAUUUAAAAAGGUAAUGAUUUCUCAGAAAUCAGAAUUACAAGAACCCAACAAAAAUGCUUUUUUUGCUUCAUUUUCAUAGCGAUAAUAAUGCCCAAAAACUAUGUUUUAAUUAUUGUGCUUGUAUUGUUGCACAUCCCUUUUCCUGGAUUCAUUACAGGGGCAACAGGGGGGGAAAUUGGGUGCAUUGAGCGGGAGAGACAAGCACUUCUUAAGUUUAAAGAAGAUAUUAUUGAUGAAGAUGGUGUUCUUUCUUCUUGGGGGGGUGAAGAAGAGAAAAGAGAUUGCUGCAAGUGGAGAGGAGUUGGCUGUGACAACAUAACUGGUCAUGUUACUUCACUUAAUCUUCAUUCCUCACCUUUGUAUGAGCAUCAUUUUACGCCUCUAACAGGCAAGGUUAGUAAUUCAUUACUUGAGUUGCAGCAUUUGAAUUACUUGGACCUGAGUUUGAAUAAUCUUGAUGAGAGUAUCAUGGAUUUCAUUGGCUCCCUAAGCAGCCUAAGAUACCUGAACCUCUCCUACAACCUUUUCACUGUAACUAUCCCAUAUCACCUCAAGAACCUCUCAAGAUUGCAGUCUCUUGAUCUCAGCUAUAGUUUUGAUGCCAGUGUUGAAAAUCUUGGCUGGCUUUCUCAUCUUUCUUCUUUGGAGCAUCUUGAUUUGAGUGGUUCCGACCUGAGCAAGGUAAAUGACUGGCUGCAAGUGGUCACAAACCUCCCUCGCCUAAAAGACUUGCGAUUAAAUCAGUGUAGUCUUACGGAUAUAAUUCCUUCACCUCUUUCUUUCAUGAACUCUUCUAAAUUUCUUGCUGUACUCCAUCUCUCUAAUAACAAUCUUUCUUCUGCAAUAUACCCCUGGCUGUAUAACUUAAGUAACAGCCUUGCUGACCUUGACCUUUCUGGUAACCAGUUACAAGGUUUGGUUCCAGAUGGCUUCAGAAAGAUGAGUGCUCUUACAAAUCUUGUUCUAUCCCGUAAUCAGCUUGAAGGUGGCAUUCCAAGAUCUCUUGGGGAGAUGUGCAGCUUGCAUACGCUAGAUUUGUGCCACAACAAUCUCACCGGGGAGCUUUCUGAUCUCACUCGGAACUUAUAUGGACGCACAGAGAGCUCGCUGGAGAUUUUAAGAUUAUGCCAGAAUCAGCUCCGUGGUUCAUUGACUGAUAUUGCUAGAUUUUCUUCCUUGAGAGAAUUAGAUAUCUCGAAUAAUCAACUGAAUGGGUCUAUACUAGAAAGUAUUGGAUUCCUUUCCAAGCUUGACUAUUUCGAUGUUUCUUUUAAUUCUUUGCAAGGUUUGGUGUCUGGCGGACAUUUUUCUAAUCUCUCCAAAUUAAAGCACUUGGAUUUGUCUUAUAAUUCCUUAGUUUUGAGAUUCAAAUCCGAUUGGGACCCUGCUUUUCAAUUGAAAAACAUUCAUCUUAGUUCAUGCCACUUGGGGCCUUGUUUCCCAAAAUGGCUGCGAACUCAGAUAAAAGUCCGUUUGCUAGAUAUCUCCAGUGCUAGUAUUUCAGAUACCGUCCCUAAUUGGUUUUGGAACCUACUGCCUAAGUUGGCUUUCUUAAACAUAUCUCACAACUUGAUGAGGGGAACACUGCCAGAUUUUUCAUCAGUAGAUGCAGUUGAUGAUACAUUCCCUGGGUUUGAUUUGAGUUUUAAUCGGUUUGAGGGUCUACUGCCAGCUUUUCCUUUUAACACAGCCUCAUUGAUUCUUUCUAACAAUUUGUUUUCAGGGCCAAUUUCUCUUAUAUGCAAUAUUGUAGGCAAGGCUUUGAGCUUCCUUGAUCUGUCAAACAAUCUGUUAACCGGACAACUUCCAAAUUGUUUCAUGAAUUGGAGCACACUCGUUGUUCUGAAUUUGGCUAACAACAAUUUGUCAGGUGAAAUUCCAAGCUCUGUUGGAUCAUUGUUUUCCCUUCAAACAUUGAGUUUAAACAAAAAUAGCCUCUAUGGAGAAUUGCCUAUGUCUUUAAAAAACUGUAGCAUGUUGAAAUUCUUGGACCUUAGUAGAAACCAAUUAUCCGGAGAAAUACCAGCUUGGAUAGGAGAAAGCCUCUCAUCUUUGAUGUUCCUUUCCCUUAAAUCUAAUGAAUUCAUUGGAAGCAUCCCACUACAUCUUUGUCAGCUAACAAAUCUUAGGAUCUUGGACCUCUCCCAAAACACCAUCUCUGGAGCCAUACCAAAGUGUCUCAACAAUCUAACUACUAUGGUUCUGAAAGGAGAAGCAGAGACUAUCAUUGACAAUCUUUACUUGACUUCUAUGAGAUGUGGAGCAAUUUUUUCUGGACGCUACUAUAUCAAUAAGGCAUGGGUUGGAUGGAAAGGAAGAGAUUAUGAGUAUGAGAGAUACCUUGGACUGCUGCGUGUCAUUGAUUUUGCAGGCAACAAUUUAUCUGGAGAAAUUCCAGAGGAAAUAACUGGCCUGCUUGGGUUGGUUGCUCUGAAUUUGUCAAGAAAUAAUUUGACUGGAGUAAUCCCCCAAACAAUUGGGCUGUUGAAAUCGUUAGAAUCUCUUGAUUUGUCAGGAAAUCAGUUCUCUGGUGCAAUUCCAGUCACAAUGGGCGAUCUGAAUUUUCUGAGUUACUUGAAUGUCUCCUACAACAACUUGUCUGGGCAAAUCCCAUCAAGCACUCAGCUUCAGAGCUUUGAUGCUUCAGCUUUUAUUGGCAAUCCUGCUUUGUGUGGUCUACCAGUCACCAAUAAAUGCCUUGGAGGUGAUUUGCCUCGAAAUUUAGUGAUGAAUGGUGUGAUCCAAGACAAUCAAGAAACUGUUCAUGAGUUCAGUGCAUGGUUUUGUACUGCUAUGGGAAUUGGUUUUAGUGUAUUCUUUUGGGGAGUUUCAGGUGCUUUACUGCUCAUACGUUCCUGGAGACAUGCCUAUUUCCGGUUCUUGGAUGAAUCAUGGGACUGGCUCUAUGUGAAGGUAGCAGUGCGCAAGGCACGACUUCAACGAGAAUUUCAGAGGCUGCACGAGCACGUUCUUGCUUAGAAGGAUUGCAAGGUAACAUGGUUAUUCACACGUCUUUUCCUUUCUUUUUUUAAUGAAGACUAAUGGCCCGUUUUCGCGCUUUCCAUUUUAUACCAGGAGCUGCAGCUGGGUGCAUAACAGGUCCGCUUUGUCCAAGGAGUCCGUAUUUUUUGUGCACGUGUUUCUUGAGAUACAUCGUCGUGUUUGUACACCUGCUGGGUUUUAUGUGAAACUAUGAGAGUGAUUAUGUAAUAUAUUUUGGAAUCUCAAAGUUGGUUUUUAUAUGAAUUUCAUUUGGAAUGUUUUUGCAAAUAUUUAGUUCUUUACUUAACAGUGUGAAGAUGGAACACAUUCAUUCUCCAAAUAAAAAAAUUAUGCCAGUACGUACUUGCUUAUUUUGCUACAGAAUUUAAUUAAAAACACAUGUAAUUUACAUUUUUAUUUAUCUGCUUUUUUUGAAUUAUUGGCAUUAAAUCAAGCAAUUAGCAGGUAUUGAAAUUGAUGUUACUUCAAGCCUAUACAAGUAAUCACCGGAGGAAAUAAAAUUUCAGAGAAAUUUCUUCGAAGAUUAGUUCAAAAAUUAUAAAUGUGUCAAUGGUGAUUGUUGAAAAGUAUGCCCAGUCAUAUAAGAAAGGAGAAAAAAUUUCAAAGAAAUUCGCAUAUUGCUUUCUUCUUUGUUUUCGUCAUUUAAAUAUUUUUUUCAGUCAUUUAAAAGUAUGCCCAUAUCAAGUUUUUUUGGAUUUGAUUUAUUAAUUUAUUUUUGUUAACUUAAUUUGUAUGAGUUUCCGAUAAAAGGUAAUCCAUGUUUGAUUUUAAAAUUUGGAUAUCAGUUUAUCUCUAAGAAAGAAUGACUGAGGACAAACUGAAGCUCUGUUACUGUUGAAAAGAUAUAAAUGAGAUGAACUCAAUGAGACCUUAGAAGACCAUUAAAAGUGGCCAGAGUGACCACACGCCCACGCCCUGCUUAUAAAAGGAAAUUUCAUCAAAAUUGCUAAAAAUAGAGGUAAUCCAUUAAAAAGAAAUUAACGAAGGGGGACAAGAAAAAUCCAAGAAAUGAAAACAUUUUUUAAAACUAUUGAUGACUUUGACGAAGACUUGCAGCUCUUAUUAAUUUCCUUUCAGAAGACAUAUUUUUUUUAAAACAUACUGAUGACUUGGAAGUCUUUUCCCAGAAGCAAGGGGCACGCACAAGUAACACAAAAACAAAUAUAUCAAAAUAAAAAAGAAAUUUAGAAAAAACUGUAAAUAGUUUUUGUGUACGAGGUUAAGGCUAUAGAACACAUAGUUAAAUAAAUAAGGCAUCUAAACCAUUUAAAUUAUUUAUUUCUUAUGGCAUCUUCUUAAACACACAGAUGAUCUUUACCUAAAAAUAUGGGGCAUGCACAAUUCCUUCAGGACGUUUAAUAAUAUAGUAAAAAUUAUUUUUUAAAAUAUUUUUUAUUUAAAAAUAUAUUAAAAUAAUAUUUUUUUAUGUUUUAAAAAUUAUUAUUGAUAUUAGUAUAUUAAAAUGAUCUAAAAACACAAAUAAAAAAAAUAAAUUUAAAGCAAAGAAAAAAAAUUUAAUUUCUUUAAAAAUACUUUUAAAAGACAAAAAUAAAUAUAUCCAAAUAAAAAAAUUUAGAGAAACAUUAAAUUGUUUUUGGUUUUUUCCACGUGCCAUCUUCUUAAACACACCGAAUACUUGAAAAUCUUUGCCCAAAAGUAUCGAGCACGAAGCUUGACAGUGUAGCUGAGUUUCUUUUAAUUUUUUUAUUUAAAAAUAUAUUAAAAUAAUAUUUUUUAUUUUUAAAAAAUAAUUUUAACAUUAACCUAUUAAAAUAAUUUGAAAGCAAAAAAAUAUUAAUUUAAAAUUAAAAAAAUACUUUUUUAAAAAUACUUUUUGUCGCGCGUGAGCGACGUCGCGGCGAUCGUCCACCCUCGAAUGUGUGAUGGGAUAUAUAUAUCUGGUAAAUAAGGGGAGACAAGGAAUUCUUUGUCUCUUAGCAGUGAGAGAUGGUGUGGGAGUCGCCACCUAGUAUUUUGGUCACUAGGAACCCUAACUGGUCUCAGAGAUCGGGUACGGGGACUGGUUGCGUAAAGGGAAGGUAUUAGCACCCCAAAUACACCCUACCUAAGGUAAGCUGCAUUGUUUAUUUGUCUGAUAAAAUUCAAGGUCUCGUUGUGUUUCCUAGUUGUUGGGUCGUCCAUGGUUCAAGAAAAGUCCUCCUCAAUAAGGAGGUCCUUAUCUUAUCGAGUAAAACCUAACCGUUCUAAUGUCUAUGUAUGUUGGUCUGUCUAUGGUUCAAGAAAAGUCCUCCUCAAUAAGGAGGUCCUUAUCUUAUCGGGUAAAACCUAACCGUUCUAAUGUCUAUGUAAAAAAGCUAUAUUUUUAAUAUCAGGAAUACAUUUUACAUAUAAAUUCUUAAUCCCAAAUACUAAAAGAAGACAAAAAGAUUUUUUUAGAAUUUUUGAAAUAUUGGCCUAGUUCUCAUGGCUUGAAUAAACUGGUUAUUAAAGCCAAAAUGCAUGCUAAUACAUAUAUUGAUUUUUGAAAUUUCAUUUGUUGUGUGAAAAUAUGCUGUUAUAAUAUUUAUAUAUAUAUAUAUUGGAGAGACUAGGCCGUAUGCAUGAAAACAAAACAUUUUUUUUUUGUAAUUAUGUAUUUUUUGAUGUUUUGACGCAAAUUGGGUAUUUUAAUACUGGGUUUGUAUUCUUACAGUAUAAAAAUAUGAACCAGUAUUGAUCAAAAUACAGUAAUAAAAUUACAACAAAAUCACAUAUUUUUUGAAAUAAUUUUUGAAGAAUUUUUAAAUUUUUUUUUUUUUUUUGGGCCGGACCUAGCUCGGCCCAUGUGGCUGGGCUGAACCCAGCAGGCCUUACCAGGUCGUGAAUUAUAUUUCACGUGAACAGUGAAAUAGCAUUUCACUGUUCACGUGAAUUAUAUUUGACAUGAACAGUGAAAUAGCAUUUCACUGUUCAAGUGAAUUAUAUUUCACUUGAACAGUGAAAUGCGAGAAAAUGGUCUGCACAGCGACGAGGAAGGGGACGAACCUGGUGGCGGAAACAAUGUUGAAGACGAUGGCGAACACUCCUAGUGAUGCAGAAACAAACCUGGUGGCGGAAACAAUGUCUUCCGGUGGUUCUGACGGUGGUUCCAAGCGGCAGCUUCUCCUCCUUUCUCCUCUGUUUCUGCUUUUCCUCUGUCUGUCUCUGUUUUUUUGCUUCUUCUGCUUCUUCUCACAGUACAGGGCUGUUAUCCAUUACGGGGAGGGAGGCAGCAGCUGGCAGUGGCUCUAGGGUGGCGCUGGCGGCGGCGGCCUGGGGAGCUGAUUCUGAAGAAGGAAAAGUCUAUGAUGAUGCUGGUCCCCUCGGCUGGUUCCUGGUUCUGAAGAAAGUUGAAGUUGAUGAUGGUGGUGGUUUUGCUGGUGGUUUCUGACCGAAGGUUGGCUCUUCCUCUUCUCUACUGCUUUCUGUGUUAUUUCUCCUCUCCUCUCUCUCCUCUCUUUUUUUCUUCCUCUCUCUCUAUUUAUAGGAAAAAAUGGAGCAGGUGCGCCUUCAAUCACGCAACGGCUGGUCGGCCAGUGACCCGUUCGGUGGUCUAAAGGUGUGGGGCUUCGAUGGGGACGAGGAGAGAGAGGCGGGACGGUUUUUGAAAAUGGUUUUUGUCUUCUGUUGUUGUUCAACGGGGGAAGGAGGAAGAUGAACAGUGUCGUUCAAAACGACACCGUUCUGGCCGUUUCAUUUAAAUGAGCCAAACUUCAAAUCAGUCCUCUAUCAUUUCUUGUUCAUUUCAAUUGUAUCCCUGCCAAAUUUGAUCUCCGCCCCCAUAGUUGGCCGCGUUUUUCACUUUAGUCCUUGGCCUCUGAUUUAUGCAAUUAAGCCCUCAAUUGAUCAAUAAACUUCCAAUUUCUUCAAUUAGGCCCCUGAACCAAAGUAAAACAGCCCCCUCUAUUUACCUGGUUUUUCCAAAUUGGUCCCUGGUUUCGGUUUUUUCAAUUAAACCCCUAAUUGGUCAUUAAACUUCAAUAUUUAUUCAAUUAAACCCCUGAUUUGACCCAAUAAAUUCCUAAAAACUAUAUUUUGGCCCCAGAACUUAAAUUUCUUUCAAUUAAAGCCUAAAUUGACUUAAAAAUCAAUUUUCUUGCAAUCAAAUCCCCUAUAAAAUCAAUUAAAAAUCCAAUUAAGUCUAUAAACAUCCAAACUUGGGCUUUUCUCCUAAAAAUUCAAAUUUUUCUUGUCAACAGGGCUCUCCUCCUUCAAGAAUAUAUUAUCAAAAAUUCCAUCUUUGUAUUUUUAACCUCAUUGACCAAUUUUCCAACCAUUUUCUGAGCGCUUCUGCCUCCUGUUAUUUUUCUAACCUCCUUUGGCUAUAUAUUUUUAUAUAUAUUUUGUGGGGACCCAAAAAUGGGUUACAACACUUUUGAAACUCAAAAAUAAUUAUAUCCAAAUAAAUUAUUUUUUAUGGAAACAACAUAUUAAAUUAAAUAAGGCAUCUGAACUAUUAAAAUUAAUUUUUCCACGUGAUAUUAGUUGGAAUUUUGUUUUUAUUAUUAUCUCUCUUUCCUUUGUGUUUGUGGAAGUAUUAUUAGUUACACUUUAAGUAUUAUAAAAUAAUAAAAAAUAAAAGAAAUUAUAUCCAUCGACCUUGACUUAUACAAUAUAAUGAUUUAAUUUUAAAUUUUCUUAUAGUGUUUAUCCAACUGCAUCUACAAGGAAAAUAAAUGGAAGUUAUGGUAAAAUUAGAGAAUUGCCGGUAUAAAAAUGUUGAGGUGCCGUUCUGAAAGUUUAUCGGGCUCGUCUUUUCCACUGCCUCCGAACUCAAGCAGAACAUCUAAGAAAUCCUUCCUCGAAUCACUUUCUUAUUCUCCACCCUCUCCUUGACAAACUUUGAAGCAGUCUCCAUGGCCUUCCCAAGAUCUCUCUCCAAGUGCAGGUCUGCCCAGACAAUAAUUUCCAUUCAGGAAGACAUUUUUUUUAACACAGUACUGAUGACUUGGAAGUCUUUUCCCAGAAGUAAGGGGCACGCACAAGUAAAUGUCGGAAGAAAUUUAGAGAAACAGCAAAUGGUUUUCGCGUAUACAUUGUAUCAGUAGAUUUUCUAUAUAUGAGGUUCAGGCUUCAGACCACACUAAAUCAAAAAACUCAUACAAUGUCUUUGAGCAAUGUACGUAUAAUUAUACAAUGUCUUUUAAAAAAAAUACUUUUACACCACAGAAACACAUGGUUGAAAGAAAGGAAUGAGAAAACGUGGGGGUUAUUGAUGACUUUGAGCAAGACUGAAGCCCUAAAUAAUUUCCAUUGAUGAUCAAGGCAAGCACUUCACAUGGAAGUGCUGAUUUCUUAGAUGUCAACGGAAAUGUCUAGGAAGAUGAGGUAUCUUCUUAAAUACACUGAUGACCUGAAAAGUAUUAAUCUAAAAGUACGAGGCAUGCACAAUUAAAAAAUGUUUAGCGGUGAGUAGAGAAUGUUUUUUUUAAAAAAAUAUAUUAAAAUAAUAUUUUUUAUUUUUAAAAAAUUAUUUUUGAUAUUAAUAUAUCAAAUAAUUUGAAAACAUCAAGAAAAAAAUAAUUUAAAGCAAAAAAAAAUUAUUUUUUUAAAAAAAUACUCUUGAAAUACAAAAAUAAAUAUAUUAAAAUAAAUGUUUUUUAGAAAAUAAUAAAUGAUUUUCAUGUAUGAGGUUAAGGCUAUAAAUCACAUAAUAAGAUAAAUAAGGAAUCAGAAUCAUUGAAUUUUUUUCAUGUGGCAUCUUCUUAAACACAUUGAUGACUUGAAAAGUUUUUGCCCAAAGCAUGGGGUAUGCAUAAUUAGAGGAUGUUUAAGAAAUUGAUUUUUAAAAUAUUUUUUAUUUAGAAAUAUUUAAAAAUAAUAAUUUUUUAUUUUUAAAAAAUUAUUUUUGAUAUUAACACAUUGAUUUGAAAGCAUCAAAGAAAAAUUAAUUUAAAGCAAAGAAAAAAAAUUUAAUUUUUUUUAAAAAUACUUUUAAAACAUAAAAAUAAAUAUAUCUAAAUAAAAGCUUUUAAAGAAACGAUAAAUGGUUUUUGCCUAUGAAGUUAAGGCUAUAAACCACAUAAUAAGAUAAAUAAGGCAUGUCAACCAUUGAAAUUAUUUUUUUUCACAUGACAUCUUCUUAAACACUGAUGACUUGAAAAGUAUUUGUUCAAAAACAUGAGGCAUGCAUAAUUAGAUGAUGUUUAGCAGUAUAGUAGAAAUUAUUUUUUAAAUAAUUAUUUAUUUAAAAAUAUAUUAAAAUAAUAAUUUCACAGAAAGUGCUGAUCUUCUUAGAUAUCGAUAUCAAUGGAAAUAACUAGGAAGCUGAGGCAUAUUUCUUUGAAAAAAAUACUUGUACACCACAGAAACACAUGGUUGAAAGAAAGGAAUGAGAAAACGCGUGGGAUAUUUAAUUGGUGAAGAUGAAUUAAUUGGUGGGUCUGCCAUCUGCAUCAGCCUUUUCGCUUGUAAUAUAUAUUUAUAUUUAUAAUUUUUAAUCUUGAUAUUAGGGCUCCAAAGAGAGAAGAUGGCAAAGUCAAUUUAAUUGAAAAAGUUGUUUAUAACUUUAUGAUUUUCUUUUCACGUAGAUAUCAUAAAAUAAAGAGUUUUAAAGUCAAAGAUUACCAAAUAUAUUUACUAUGAAAAGGACCCAUUUAUUUAAAAGAAAAAAUAGUCCACUUUCCUACACUUAAACACUAAAUAAUAAAAAAAAAUUAAAAUGUUUUGCAAGGCCUGCCCCUGCUUGCCUCCCUCCUGAUUGUAUCACUAGAUUUUCUAGGAGGUUCAGGCUAGCCAUUAGAAUUUCUCAUCCAAAAAAAAAUUUAUAUAUGUAGGCCUUUUAAUAUAUUUUUAUAUAUACAAUUAUUUUUGACAUUAAUAUAUUAAUAUUAUCUAAAAAUAUAUAAUUAAUUAAAAAUAAAAAAAUUAAUAUUUUUUUUAAAUACUUUUACAUCACAGAAACACAUGCUUAAAAGAAAGGAAUGAGAAAACGUAUGGGCUAUUGAUGACUUUGAGCAAGACUGAAGCUCUAAAUAAUAUCCAUUGAGGAAGGCUUGCACUUUACAUUGAGGCUCUUAAUAAUUUCACGUGGAAGUGAUAAUUUUCUUAAACACACUGAUGACUUGAAAAAUUUGUGUUCAAAAAUAUUAUAGAACAUGGUAAUAUUUAAGAUAUUUUUGGAAAUAUAAUAUAAAUUAUGUUUUUAAAAAUUUUUAAUUUUUUUUUAAAAUAAAUCUUUUAUAUUUUUAAAUUAAUAUGCUGAUAUUAAAAAUAACUUUUUAAAAAUAAAAAAAUUUUAUUUUAACCUAUUGUAAAUCACAAGCGCGACCACUAUCCCUAACAAACCUUCAUCAAUAGUCAAAUCAAUAUCCAUGACCAUUUUUUUCAUUCCAGCUCCCUCAAGUUUUUAAUCCUUUCUCUGCUUUGGUCAAUAAAUCUUAUUUUUUUAUUUUAUUUUUCUGCUAUGACGUUUAAAUUAUUUCACUACUUGUAAUACAUGAGAGAUACGACAGAAGAGUGAGAAAUAACAAAAAAAAAAAGUUUGAAUCUUUUUUUAUUUUUUCUCUUUCCUUGAUGUUUAUGGAAGUAUUAUUAGUUACACUUUAAGUAUUAUAAAAUAAUAAUAAUAAAAAUUAUAUCCAUCGACCUUGACUUAUAUAAUUAAUGACUUAAUUUUAAAUUUUCUUGCAGUGUUUUUAAUAUUAUAUAUAGGGAAGUUGUGAAGUGAUAUACCCACUUCGAUAUUCAAAGUUAAAUUACCCACCAAAUUCUCAUUGCUCUCAAUUAUUACUUCCAUACCCACUUCGAUAUUAUCUUUUCUUUUGUGAUCAUGCUGCCGAUAAAGCACGACAAGUCGUUUCAUCAUCUUUAUGUGCUUAUUGUGCUUCUGUUGCUCAUGAAACUUGCACCUGGGUUCAUUUCUGGAGUGAAAGGGGCAACUUUCGGGUGCAUAGAGAGGGAGAGACAAGCCCUUCUCAAGUUUAAAGAAGACCUUAUUGAUGACUUUGGUCUUCUUUCAACCUGGGGAAGUGAAGAAGAGAAGAGGGAUUGCUGCAAAUGGAGGGGAGUUGGAUGCAACAAUCGAACUGGUCAUGUUACUCAUCUCGAUCUUCACUGGGAGAAAAGCGGCAAGUAUUUAACUGGUAAGAUCAGUAAUUCAUUACUGGAGUUGCAGUAUUUGAGUCACCUGAAUCUAAGUGGAAGCCAUUUUCAGUAUCCAAGUUUCGUGAAUACAAGGGGAAGCGAUUUUCCAGGGAGUCCUUUUGAAGGGAGUACUUUUCCAUAUUUCAUUGGAUCUCUAAAAAAACUAAGAUACCUUGAUCUCUCCUUUACCGGUGUUGUUGGAACUCAGCUUUGGAAUCUCUCAAGAUUACAGAAUAUUUUGACUUGAGUAGAAACAACCUCAGUCAAGCUACUGACUGGAUGGAAAUGGUUAACAAGGUCCCUUUUUUAAAAGUCUUACGGUUAAGUGGAUGUGAUCUUUCAAAUAGCAGUCUUCCCUCUCUUUCUUUUACGAAUUCUUCUAAAUCCCUAGCUGUCAUUGAUCUCUCUUACAACAAUAUUGCUUCUUCAACAUUCAAUUGGUUGUCCAAAUUUAGUAACAGCCUUGUUGAUCUUGAUGUUAGUUGGAAUUGGGUUGAUGUUAAUAGGAAUUGGGAUAACAGUUCUGAAAACCUUGAUUGGCUUUCCUAUCUUUCUUCAUUCUCCGGGUGAAAAUCAAGAUCAGUAACAUGACCAGUUCGAUUGUUGCAUCCAACUCCUUUCUAUUUGCAGCAAUCCCUCUUCUCUUCUACGCUCCCCAAGUUGAAAGAUUGGCGCCCAUUUACAUAUAGAAUUCCUUCUGCAUGGAAAUGGCAAAGUGCUAUUUUAAUGGGCCGUAGGCUGGCCAACCUGCAAUGGUUGAGCCGAGUCUAGCCCAAAUCUUUUUAAAAAAACAACAAAAAUCAAAUUUAUUAAGCCAAUCUCGGGCCAACCUUUUUUGGGGGUUGAAUUCAGCACUACAAGAAUGGGCUCCACCUAGUCAUCUAGGCCGCUUAGCCUACAUAUUUAAUAUUAUUUAAUUAUAAUAAUAUAAUAUUAUAUUUAUAAAAAAUAAAAACAAAUUCAAAAAAAAUUUCAAGGGGCAUUUUAAAAUAUUUUUUAUUUUCUCGCGUGUUUUUCUACCAAUUUUACUUAAUAUUGAGUUAUAUUUUUACAUUGUAAGAUACAAAUUUGAUAUUAAAAUACCUGAUUUUCUCCAAAAUCUCUCUAAAAAAUUCAAAAACAAAUAUCAAAACUUUUAAAUUAAUUUCCCUUUUAAAAAAAGAAAAAAAUAUUUUGUUUUCAUGCAUACGGCCAAAUCCUAAAAUUUUUUCAAGCAUAUUUUAAUGAAAAAACAAAAAUUGCAUCGUUCUUAUAUUUUAAAAUACAAAAUGAAUAUCGUAAUCAUUUUAUGAUUAUCCAUUAAGGUUUGACUAAAAUGUCAAAAACCCUUUACCAAUAAUUUUUUAUUAGGGUCUAGGUGUAAACUUUACUAUAUGUGGGGUGUAAAACUACAUAAUAGAGUAAACCCUCAUGUAUUAAAGAUACAAGGUGUGAAAUAAAUGCGAUACUAAAUUUUGAACUUUUGAACACUUAGAAUUAAACCUAACGAAGUAGAAACUAUUUCACAUAGAGAGAUUUGUCUUAGACUUUAGAAAAGACCAACGAAUAUAAACCCGACCUAAAAAAACAAUCAAACAACAAUGCUACUUACCUUAGAUAGGUGGGGUGAUGCGUCUUCUCCUUGCAUAACCAGUCCUUUACUCAGGCUAUUAUAAACCAUAGGUUCCUAAUAACCAUAAUACUAGGUGAUGACUCCUGAAUCUUAAUCAUAAUCUUAUGAGUAAACCUAAACCCAUUUCCUUUCCCAACACACACCUCUCAGGAGGCACGAAAAGCUCGUCAGCGGCAUCGACAUCGCACCUGCGACACAGUAUACUUGCAAAGGGUUGCUAGACCCAAACUGCUCUACGACACACAAUAUACUUGCACAGGGUUGCAAGACCCAAACUGCUAGGGUCUGGUAACCGUGCCAGAUCCAUGCUCCUAUUUUUAUAAAUAUAGAAAUUUACUUAUAAUUAUUCUAAAAAUAUACUUAUUUUGUAUUUUCAUCUGUCUUUUUAACCAAAAAUAUUUUUAUUUUUUCUAUAUUUCUUUCUUCUAUUUUGGGAUAUUAACCACACACAUCCCUAAAAUUCACUCAAUUUUUUUUAUUAAUCUCUAACUUUAGUGAAGAAAUCAUCUACAAAAUUACACAAAUUAAGAUAAUCCAAAGGACAGUAAGUCUUUUACAUAUACAAUGUUUUCUUUUUCUACAACAUAAUGUAUCAAUUCAAAAGUUCUCUUAUGAUCAUAUAUUUCAAAAUUUUGCAUAUAUUAAUAGUUAUAAUGUAGAAUAAACUCUCAUUGUAACAAGCUUUGACAAUUAAAUCAUGCAACAACAUCUCAAAUUUUAAAAAAAGCAUGAAUCUUUUAAAAAACCGUCCAACAUUUGGAUGGAAACAUAAAAUGAAUAUUUUACAUAUACAAUGUUUUCUUUUUCUACAACAUAAUGUAUCAAUUCAAAAGUUCAAAUGUUUUCUCUUAUGAUCAUAUAUUUCAAAAUUUUGCAUAUAUUAAUAGUUAUAAUAUAGAAUAAACUCUCAUUGUAACAAACUUUGACAAUUAAAUCAUGCAACAUCUCAAAUUUAAAAAAAAACAUGAAUUUUUUAAAAAACUGUCCAACAUUUGGAUGGAAACAUAAAAUGAAUAUUUUCAUCCACAAUGCAUACAAAAAAGAGAAGUUUAUUUUUGAAGACUUGAAAUAAAUCACUCUGAAAUCAACUUUUUUUUUUUUUGCAUUCUGUCCUCUUCGAAUAUAAAAAAUUUAUAAAAUAAGUUGCAAAAAAAAAAAGAGUUCGUAGUUAAGUUCUACUGCAUAUGAAUGAAAAUUCAUGGUUGAAUGAGGCAGUGCUUGAUUUUGCAGUCCAUUCAUGCUUUUGAAAUUUUUAAAAUUUUUUGACCUAUGCACAUGAGUCUGACAUUGUUGCUAGAUCCAGACGCGAGUCUGGCAACAAUGUUAGACCCAAACAUGGUUGCUAGACCCAAAUAUGGUUGCCAGACCAAGGCGCUUGGGCCUGACGUCUUUGUCAGACCCAAGGCGUUUGGGUCUAGAAUGGUUGAUAGACCCAAGACUCUUGAGUCUUGAAUGGUUGAUAAUGCUUCUGGCGUGGUUGCGGCAACCAAGCCAGACCCAAGAUGCUAAAGUGGUAGAGAAAAAGCAAUGAUUGAGAAGAAAAAAAAAGCAAAGAAACGUCUCACAAAAAGAUAAGAAAUUGAAAAUGAAACUACUAUUACAAUCCGCAGUAAAAAGUCUCUUAAUCUACAGUGAUUUCCCAGACCAUUUAGUUUUUGUUAUAAUUAAUUUUCCUAAAAGAUGCUAGAAGGUUUUUUUUUUUUUUUAAAUAAUGGUUUCUUAAUUAUUUUUAUUCUUGUUUAGUUUAGAAAAAUUUUCUUUUAUUUAUAGUAUUUUUAUUUUUUCCCAUUUAAUUAAAAAUUUUGUUCUUUCUUAUUUAAUUUAGUCAUAAGACUAGUAUAAAUAGCAUUGUUUAGUUUAUAUUUUAUAAGACUGCCUAAAAAGAAAAUAUUAAGUAAUAAAAUUUUAAAUUAGGAUUUUGAUGUGUUGAAUAGUCAUGGAUGAAAGAUAUAAUAGAAUAGGAUGUAAUCUUGUAGGGAGGGAGUAGAAUGUUCUCUCUCGAGGGAAAAGACGUUCAAGAAUUGAUGAUGGAAGACAUACAAAUUAAAGACAAGUUGCAAAAUGGACUAUCAGUUAGUGAUGAUAAAUUUAAUUACAGAGAUAAGUUAAAGAAUUAUAACAUCAACUAAACAGGAUAUAAAAAAAAAAAAAAAAAAGAUUGAAUGAUCAUGAGAAUAGUAAUCAUGAAUUCGUAAUUAAUUUUAAGAACUUGUUUUAAAAGCAUAAGUAGACGAGACAAUUUCUUAACAAAGAAGAUGCCUCAGCUUCUUAGUCCAAACCAUCGACAUCUAAGAAGAUCAGCACAUCCAUGUGAAGUGCAUGUCUUCCUGAAUGGAAAUUAAGAGCUCUUCAGGUAGUGGUAAUAGCUCAUACGUUUUCUCAUUCCUUUCUUUGACUGACGUUCUCUUCCAAGUCAACUUAUGUUUGUUUAACUCAUAAUCAUUUUGGUCUUUUUUUUUAAAUUCAUUUUGCACAUCAACUUGUGUUCUCAAAGAAAUUAGAGUCACCUUUGGUCUUUUUUUAAUUCAUUUUCCAUGGAAGCUGAAUAUAUUUCUUCAUUUUUCUUGCCCCACUUCGUUUCUUUUUAAUUGUCCUUGUGAUACGUUGUUUCCAACUGAAAAAUACUUUAAAUUGCUUUUAAAGCAGUCGUUGAUGUCUACAGUGCAACUCCACUUAACCCACACUUCUUCUCAUUCCUUUCUUUGGCGGACAUCCUCCUCUUCCACAUCAACUUGUGUUACGGGGGAGAGACAUUAGAGUCAUAUCGGUCUUUUUUAAUUCAUUUUCCAUUGAAGCUAAACCGAUUUCUUGAUUUUUCUUGCCCGGCUUUGUUCUUUUUGUAUAGCAGUCGUUAAUGUCUACAGUGCAACUCUCCACUUACUCACUUUUUCUCGUUCGUUUCUUUGGCGGACAUCCUCUUCCACAUCAACUUGUGUUACGGGGGAGAGACAUUAGAGUCAUAUCGGUCUUUUUUAAUUCAUUUUCCAUUGAAGCUAAACCGAUUUCUUGAUUUUUCUUGCCCGGCUUUGUUCUUUUUGUAUAGCAGUCGUUAAUGGCCACAGUGCAACUCCACUUACUCACCUUUUCUCGUUCCUUUCUUUGGCCGACAUCCUCUUCCAAUAACUCAUAGUCAUUUAAAAUGACUCAUUUUUGUCCUUUUUUUAAACUCAUUUUCUGUGGAAGCUGAAUCUAUUAAUUAGAUUUGUUUCUUUUUAAUUGCAUUUGUUGUGUCUGUUGUUUCCAACCGCGAAACACCUUAAAUUGCUUUCGUAGCGGUCAUUAACGGCUACAAUACAACUCAUCUUAAUUUAUUUGUUUUUAUGUUUUGAAAGUAUUUUAGAAAAAAAUUAAAUUAAAUUUUAUUUUUUAUUUUAAAUUAAUUGUUUUUAAUAUUUUUAAAUUAUUUUAAUAUAAUAAUGUUAAAAAUAAAAAAUAUAUUUUUGAAAACAACAAUACCACUUAAUCUCAAGUGGUGAUAUUCUUGGAUGUUGAUAGAAAUGACUACGAAGCUGAGGCAUUAUACAAGUUGAGGCAUCUUCUUAAUCACAAUGAUGACUUGAAAGUUUUUAAUCCUUAAUUUCUCUGCUUUGAUCAAUAUAUCUUAUUUUUUAUUUUAUUUUUCUGCUAUGAUGUUGAAAUUAUACCACUACUUGUAAUACACAAGAGAUAUACACAAAUAAUAGAGACAGAAGAGUGAGAAUUAAAAACAAAGUCAGAAUUUUCUUAUUGAUUUUCUCUCUUUCAAUUCCUUUGUGUUUAUUAGGGGUGAUCAUUUUCGGUUCGGUUCGGUUUUUAUCAAAAAAAGUAACCAAACCGAAAUUUUUUUUUUUGAAAAAAAAACCGAAACCGAACCGAAACCGGGUCAAACCGGCCGGUUUCGGUUCGGUUUUUUUAGGGCAAAAACCGGUUCAAACCGAUUUGGCUCGGUUUUUCCGGUUUUGGCUCGGUUUUUUCCGGUUUAGCUCGGUUUUUCCGGUUUGGCUCGGUUUUGGCUCGGUUUUUCCGGAUUGGCUUGGUUUGGCUCGGUUUUUUUUCCGGUUUUUUGUUGGUUUCGGUUCGGUUCGGUUUUUUGUUUAUAAAACCGAAACCGAACCGAACCGGCCGGUUUUUUCAAAAAAUUAAUCGGUUUAAUCGGUUUUUUUUUUCGGUUCGGUUUUUUCGGUUAAUUUUUUUCCGGUUUUCUCGGUUUAAUCGGUUUUCCGGUUUUUUUGCUCACCCCUAGUGUUUAUAUAAAAAUAUUAUUAAUUAUACUUCAAGUAUUAUAAAAUAAUAAAAAAUAAAAGACACUAUAUCCAUCGAUCGACCUUGACUUAUAUAAUUAAUGACUUAAUUUUAAAUUUUCUUACAAUGUCUAUAUGGAAGUUGUGAAGUGAAUGGAUCCCCUGUGUGUUUAAGAAGAUGCCACAUGAAAAAAAUAAUUUUAAUGGUUCAGAUGCCUUAUUUAUCUUAUUAGAUUCUCUAUGAGUUUCAUGCUACAGACCACGCUAGCCAUUAGAAUCUCUCAUCCAAAAAUAAUUAUACGUGUAGGUUUUUUAAUGUAUUUUUAUACAUAAUUUUUUUAAUAUUAAUAUAUUAAAAUAAUCUAAAAACAUAUAAAUAAAUAAAUAAAAUUCAAUUUCUUUCUGAAAUACUUUUACACCACAGAAACCCACGGAAAAGGAAUGAGAAAACGUGUGGGCUAUUGAUGACUUUGAGAAAGACUGAAGCUCUAAAUAAUUUCCUUUGAGGAAGGCUUGCAGUACUUCACAUGCAAGCUGAGGCAUCUUCUUAAACACACUGAAAACUUUUAAAAAAAAAAAAUUAUUUAAAAGUAUAGGGAACGGACACUUAGAGGAUAUUUAUCUAGUGAAAUAGAGAUUGUUUUUUAAAAUGUAUUUUUUUUAAUAUAUUAAAAUAAUAUUUUUUUAAAAGUAUUUUUAAUAUUAGUACAUCAAAAUUAUCUAAAAACAUUAAAGAAAAAUUAAUUUAAAAUGAAAAAAAAUUUAAAAUAUUUUAAAAAAAUAAAAAUAAAUAUAUGAAAAAAAAACUAUAGGGAAAAAUUAAUAGUGUUUUGCGGUUAAGGCUAUAUACCACAUAAUAAGAUAAAUAAGGUUUCUGAAUAAUUAAAAUUAUUUUUUUUACGUGGCAUUUUUUUAAAUACACUACUGACCUAAUAAAAGAGUGAGAAAACAAAUCUAACACUUUCAGUUUUAUAAAAUAAUAAUAAUAAUAAUAAAAGAAAUUAUAUCCAUCGACCUUGACUUAUACAAUUAAUGAUUUAAUUUUAAAUUUUCUUAUAGUGUUUUUGAUAUUAUAAAUAGGGAAGUUGUGAAGUGAAUGGAUUCAAAGUUAAAUACCCGCCAAAUUCUCAUUGCUCUCAAUUAUUACUUCCAUACCCAAUUCGAUAUUAUCUUUUUUUGUGAUCACGCUGCUGAUAAAGCACGACAAGUCGUUUCAUCAUCUUUAUGUGCUCGUUGUGCUUCUGUUGCUCAUGAAACUUGCACCUGGGUUCAUUUCUGGAGUGAAAGGGGCAACUUUCGGGUGCAUAGAGAGGGAGAGACAAGCCCUUCUCAAGUUUAAAGAAGACCUUAUUGAUAACUUUGGUCUUCUUUCAACAUGGGGAAGUGAAGAAGAGAAGAGGGAUUGCUGCAAAUGGAGAGGAGUUGGUUGCAACAAUCGCACUGGUCAUGUUACUCAUCUUGAUCUUCAUCGGGAGAAUGAAUAUUUAGCAGGUAAGAUCAGUAAUUCAUUACUGGAGUUGCAGCAUUUGAGUUACAUGAGUUUAAGAGGAAGCUAUUUUCGGUAUCCAAGUCUCGUGAAUCCUGGAAGCGAUUUUCAAGGGAGUUCGUUUGAAGGGAUUCCUUUUCCAUAUUUUAUUGGGUCUCUAGAAAGUCUAAGAUAUCUUGAUCUCUCUUCUAUGAAUAUUAUGGGUACUCUCUCAAAUCAGUUUUGGAAUCUCUCAAGAUUACAGUAUCUUAAUCUUAGUGAUAAUUAUAAUAUUAAUUUUAAAAGUCUUGACUUUCUCAAUAAUUUAUUUUUUCUUGAAUAUCUUGACAUAAGUAGAAACAAUCUCAAUCAAGCUAUUGAUUGGAUGGAAAUGGUUAACAAGGUCCCUUUUUUAAAAGUCUUACAGUUAAGUGGAUGUCAACUUUCAAAUAUCAAUCCUCCCUCUCUUUUUUUUAUGAAUUCUUCUAAAUUCCUAGCUGUCAUUGAUCUCUCUAAUAACUAUCUUGUUUCUUCAACAUUCAAUUGGUUAUCCAACUUUAGUAACAGCCUUGUUGAUCUGGAUGUUAGUGGGAAUUGGGAUAACAGUUCUAAAAACCUCGAUUGGCUUUCCUAUCUUUUUUCUUUAGAGCAUCUUGACCUGAGUCGCAAUAAGAACCUUAGUAUUGACUGGCUGCAAUUGCCUAACAGGCUCCCUCGCUUACAUGAAUUGUUGUUAAGUUCUUGUAGCCUUUCAAUUAUCGGUUCUCCAUCUCUUUCUCUUGUAAACUCCUCUAAAUCUCUGCUAUCGUUGAUUUCUCUUUCAACGAUCUUUCCUCUUCAAUAUUCUAUUGGUUGGCCAACUUCGGUAUCAGCCUUGUUGAUCUUGACCUCUCAUUUAACCAUUUACAAGGUUCAAUUCCAGAUGCUUUCACAAACAUGACUUCUCUUAGGACUCUUGAUCUAUCCUGUAACCAAUUACAGGGCUCAAAUCCAGAAGCUUUCGCAAACAUGAUUUCUCUUAGGACUCUUCAUCUAUCCUCUAACCAAUUACAAGGCGAUUUGAGUUCAUUUGGGCAGAUGUGCAGUUUAAAUAAACUGUAUAUAAGCGAAAACAGUCUCACUGGAGAGCUGUCUCGGUUGUUUCAAGACUUGCAUGGAUGCGUGGAGAACUCACUAGAGAUUCUACAACUAGACGAAAAUCAGCUUCAUGGUUCAGUGCCCGACAUCACAAGAUUCACUUCCAUGAGAGAGCUGGUUCUCUCUCGGAAUCAACUGAAUGGAUCUUUACCGAAACGAUUUAGUCAACGUUCUAAACUUGUUUUGUUGUACUUGGAUGACAACCAACUCACUGGAUCAGUUACGGAUGUUACGAUGCUUUCAUCAUUGAGAGAGUUGGUGAUUGCUAACAAUCGCUUAGAUGGGAAUGUUUCUGAAAGUAUUGGAGGCCUAUCUCAGCUCGAGAAAUUGGAUGCUGGAAGGAAUUCCCUACAAGGUGUGAUGUCUGAAGCUCACUUUUCAAAUCUCUCCAAAUUAACAGUAUUGGAUUUAACUGAUAAUUCCUUAGCUUUGAAAUUUGAGUCUAAUUGGGCUCCCACUUUUCAAUUAGAUGACAUAUUUCUUUCGUCUUGUAAUUUGGGUCCUCCUUUCCCUCAAUGGCUGCGAAAUCAAAAUAAUUUCAUAAAGCUAGAUAUCUCUGGUUCUGGAAUUUCAGAUACAAUCCCAAAUUGGUUUUGGAACUUGUCUAAUUCCAAGUUGCAACUCUUAAACCUUUCUCACAACAGGAUGUGUGGAAUUUUGCCAGAUUUCUCAUCAAAAUAUUCCAAUCUCCUACACAUAGAUUUGAGUUUCAACCAGUUUGAGGGUCGAUUACCACUUUUUUCAUCAGAUACCACAUCAACCUUGUUUCUCUCUAACAAUAAGUUUUCAGGUCCAGCUUCUUGUCCAUGUAAUAUUGGAAGUGGUAUCUUGAAGGUCCUUGACCUCUCAAAUAACCUGUUGAGGGGAUGGAUUCCUGAUUGUUUAAUGAAUUUCACAAGUCUAAGUGUUCUGAAUUUGGCUAGCAACAACUUUUCAGGUAAAAUUCUCAGCUCCAUUGGAUCAAUGGUCUAUCUUAAAACAUUGAGUUUGCAUAAUAAUAGCUUUGUUGGAGAAUUACCUUUGUCUUUGAGGAAUUGUAGUUCUCUAGCAUUUUUAGACCUGAGCUCAAAUAAGUUGCGAGGAGAAAUUCCAGGCUGGAUAGGAGAAAGCAUGCCAUCUCUGAAAGUCCUUUCCCUACGAUCUAAUGGAUUCAAUGGAAGCAUACUGCCAAAUCUUUGUCACCUAUCAAAUAUUCUGAUCUUGGACCUAUCUCUAAACAAUAUCACAGGAAUCAUUCCAAAGUGCCUUAAUAACCUCACUUCCAUGGUUCAAAAAACAGAGUCAGAAUAUUCCCUUGCGAAUAAUGCUGUUCUUAGUCCGUAUUUCACAUCAGAUAGCUAUGAUGCAUAUCAGAAUAAGAUGAGGGUUGGAUGGAAAGGAAGAGAGGAUGGUUACGAAAGCACACUAGGACUUUUGAGGAUCAUUAAUCUUGCAAGAAAUAAACUAAUUGGAGAAAUUCCAGAAGAGAUAACAGGACUCUUACUGUUGCUUGCACUGAAUUUAUCCGGAAAUACUUUGAGUGGAGAAAUCCCUCAAAAGAUUGGGCAGUUGAAACAGUUGGAAUCGCUUGAUUUGUCAGGAAACCAAUUAUCAGGAGUAAUUCCUAUCACAAUGGCUGAUCUAAAUUUUCUGGCUUUCUUGAACCUCUCCAACAAUCACUUGUCGGGGAGGAUUCCGUCAAGCACUCAGCUGCAAGGCUUUAAUGCUUCACAAUUUACCGGUAACCUUGCAUUGUGCGGGAAGCCACUCUUACAGAAAUGCCCUCGAGAUGAGACGAACCAAAGUCCACCUCCUAAUGAUGACAACCGAGGCAAAGAAGUCGUUGCUGAUGAAUUCAUGAAAUGGUUUUGUACUGCUAUGGGAAUUGGUUUUAGUGUAUUCUUUUGGGGAGUUUCAGGUGCUUUACUGCUAAAACUUUCCUGGAGACAUGCCUAUUUUGUUAGGAUAUUGCCAUUUGUGGCAAUACCCCACCACUAAGCAAGUGGAAGCAUGAAUUGUGCCACAAUUCAUGCCAUGCUUUAAGGCUUUGUUGGCCCCUCCAUGUUGACAAAUGUGUUGGAGGGGCUCACCAUAUUUGCCUAUAAAAGAGACAAUUAUUUGAGAGCAAAGUGAGAGGGUUGAAGUGAGAGAGAACGUGAGUGUGUGCAAGAGAGUGGAGAGAAAGAGAGAGCUGCAAUGGCUGCUGCCAUUGCAGCAGCUGCAAGAGCACCAAAGUUAGCUGAGAGUUGAGUUAGAGUGGAUGUAAUCCUCCUCCUCCAUGUAUCUCUAUAUCUAAUAAAAUGAACCUCUCCCGUGGAUGUAGGCGGUUUUGCCGAACCACGUAAAAAUAUUGUGUCAGUGUGCUUCCCCUCCGUUGAGCAACUAUCAGUACACCCCCGGUCCGCGCAUGGGGGAGCCGGAAUCCCCAACAAUUGGUAUCAGAGCUGAUGGUUUAAAGUGAUGUUUGAUUUUUGCUCAAAAAUGAAAGUUGUCAAAAUUGUGUUUUGACCAUACCACUGUGUAAAGGAGGAAGAGACGAAGCCACCGGUGAAAACGGCGUCAAAAUCGGACGUCGGACAUGGCCGCACUCUCCAUCACUCUCCGGCAAAGCGUCUGCCCACGGGCGCAGACGCGCCCCACGCGUCUUCUUCGCCCGGAUGGGCUGACCCGACCCGAAUACCAGUUGACCCGACCCACAUGGCUGACCCGGAUAUGAAUGACGUCAGCAUGACAUAAUUGUGAUGUCAGCAUGCACAGUAGGCAUGCCAGGGAUGACAUCAGCAUGAUGUAAUUUUGAUGUCAGCAUGCACAGUAGGCAUGCCAGGUCAUUAGACACGUCAUCGACCAGUCAGCAGACACGUCAGCAAAGUGGGACCCACCGGCCACAUCAUCAACCGCGAGUUGAGCCGAGCCGAGCCGCGAGCCGAGUGAUAAGAUUCUGUGCAGCGGAGUCUACGUGCAACCGGAUCUUAGAUUGAAUCUGGGCCGCUAAUCAGACCAGAAUUGUUUUGAUCAAAUCUUAGCCGUCUGAAGUGCGAUUUGGACGAUUUCAGACUUGUUUCCAGCUAAUUUGAUCGUUCCGGAUGCAAUGGUACGGUCCGAUCGUUGAGAUUUGAGACCGAAAGUGGUGGUGGUGAAUUAACAAAAGAGAUUGCCCGAUUAGGAGGCAUCUGAAGGUCAUCAUGGUUGUCGAUGGAGAUGAAGAAGAAGAAGGUGCACAUGUUUACCCAAUUACAUGUGUUGAACUGCUAAGUGGGUAGAAUUUUAACUGCCUUGAAGGAAGGCAAAAUUGGAACACUCUGGACACCCGAUCAUAUGGAUAAUUUGAGGUGAAGAGUGGAAAUUGAUGAAGACCAAUCUUGACGAAUCUAAGCUCUGGUAGUCUUGCCAGAUGUUGAGAACUGAUGUAUUAAACCAGUAUAUUGCAGAUCACUUGUAAAGGAAAGCCGCGACAAAGCUAGCAAAUGGUUGUAUAUACGGAAAGACAGUACGAUGGAUAGAUAUGGCCUGAGAAGUUCUGUCUAGGAGAUUGGGUUUUAAGCGGGACCAAUGUGACCCCUCCAAUCUUUCCUGGGAACUUGCUUAGUGGAAGGAUUAUCCAUACGGUACUAUUUUCAAAUAUAUAGCAGUUUGUAAUGAAACAGUUGAAGACUAGCAAGACGACGGCACAAGGGAACAGUUGGGUUCCGUAUGAUCAAGGCUCUGAUGAAGUGGUGAUUUCUCCAAAGAAGUUAGAUUCGGUGACUGUGAUUUCUCGAAGGGAGAAUUGAUGAAGACCCUGAUAAUGGAAGAGAAAUACAGCAAGGGGAUAAAGAUUGGCACCCUAUUUUGACUUGGACAGGUGUUAUGAUAGGAUGAGCUGCUGUCAAACAUAAGCAAAGAAUAGGGAGAAAUCUGGAGAACAGAAAUUGCACGAGGGCACACGGAGAUUGUGCAGGAGUACCCGUAGGAUCCAACGAGGUACUAUAAUGAGACAACAGGUGCAAGGAGAAGAAGUGUUCCCAGAUGAAGCUCAGAGCAGAGACUGUUAAAGUUUGUACAACAAGAAGUCUCUUAUGCUCUUGAUGAAGACAACAUGCGAAGACAUUUCCAAUGCAUGCAAGGAUGGAAAGAGAGCUGUUGCAGAGGCCCCUAAUUGAGGGGGUGCAAACGCCUGUGAUAAAAGGCGACCGCCUAUGAUGAAAGGCGAAGACACCAAAGAGAGUUGGUGUAGGUGGAGCUGUCAAGCAGAAAGACACAAAAGCUCCAAACAUAGAAAUCGAGGUGGAGGAUUGCGAGGAGUAUACCGCAACUUUCUCUUUCUAUGUAGUCAGUGGCAGUAAUCUCUCCCAUAGUGCACAUGGUGGUAGAGACUUUUGGAGCCACUUUGAAGCAUCUCAGCUGAAGGAGGAUGCGGCCACCUAUGAAAGGUGAAGACACCUUAGAUGGAAGGUGUGUGGGCCGUGAUAGAAGCCCCGAAUCAGACCGCCCCAUGACAACAGGCGAAGACACCUUAGAGAAGGUGUGAGGGCCAUGAUAGGAGCCCCAGUUCAGACCGCCACAUGACGAUGAGCGGAGAUACCUAAGGAGAAGGUGUGUGGGCCACGAUAUAAGCCCAGUUCAGAACAACCCCAAGCCAAUGUGAUGGCUGGAUAUGAGUGGACAGAUGGAUAGCCAAUGAAGUGGCUAUGAUGAGUAUGGAGACAAAUACAGGAUUGACUUUCAUGGAUAUUGCCCCCAUGCUAAAGAUCAAUGAGCUAGAAGACAUUUGCCUUGGACAAUAAGUGUGUGACUUGUGGAGCAUUAAGACGCGGCUGCUAUGACGGAGCAGAGGGCAUGCGCAGGUUCCGGGAACGAGUUGACUCUUGUCAAGGUGGUGAGCUCGGUAAUGGCAUUGUAAUACUCAGAGUAUGAAGACAUAUAUGGAUCAACCUUUAAUGGGCUACCCCCAUGGUUAAAGGUGGAGAGCUACCUGGACUCUUACGACUAAGAGCGAGAGACUCACGGAGAAGUAAGGCGUGGUUCCUAGGGUGGAACAGAGGGCAGGCGCAACUCCUGGAUGAGUAGACUCUUGGAAGAGUGGUGAGCUCGUGAUCACACUGAGAUACUCAGAUAAUGACUGUCGCACUUGGGAAUAUUCUGUUUGAGGGGGUGUUGUAAGCCUUGGUGUAAGGCUUGAAAAAUCAUUCCGGACCGAGCAUGGUUGAUACGCUCGAAGGGGGAUGUUGUGUUGAAGACGCUCUCAGAAUGGAAGCUUGGAAGAGCUGCAGAAUGCAAGCUUGUGCUAAAAAAGCAAGAUGACAAUUGCCCACACAAAUGGCAAAGGGGGUGAUUGUUAGGAUAUUGCCAUUUGUGGCAAUACCCCACCACUAAGCAAGUGGAAGCAUGAAUUGUGCCACAAUUCAUGCCAUGCUUUAAGGCUAUUGGCCCCUCCAUGUUGACCAUGAAAUGCCUAUAAAGGAGGCUUAUAUUUGAGAGAAAAAGAGAGAGAGAGAGAACGUGAGUGUGUGCAAGAGAGUGGAGAGAAAGAGAGCUGCAAUGGCAGCAGCUGCAAGUGCAGCAAGAGAGUUGAUGAGUUGAGUAGAGUGGAUGUAAUCCUCCUCCUCUACAUGUAUUUUUGUAUCCUUUCUCUAAUCUCUAAUAAUAUAGACUCUCUCCCGUGGAUGUAGGCGAUUUGCCGAACCACGUAAAAUAUUGUGUCUCAGUGUGCUUACCCUCCCUUGAGCAACUAUCAGUACACCACCGGUCCGCGCAUGGGGGAGCUGGAAUCCCCAACAUAUUUCCUGUUCUUGGAUGAAUCAUGGGACUGGCUCUAUGUGAAGGUAGCAGUGCGCAAGGCACGAAUUCAACGAGAAUUUCAGAGGCUGCAAGAGCACGUUCUUGCUUAGAAGGAUUGCAAGGUAAUAUGGUUAUUCACAUAUCUUUUCUUUUCUUUUUAUAUUGAAGACUAAUGGAGCAUAACAGGUCCGCUUUGUCCAAGGAGUCCGUAUUGUUAGUGCACGUGUUUGCUGGAGCUACAUCGUGCUUUACCUUGGCAACUUCAUCGUCGUCUACUACUACAAGUUUGAAAUAAGGUUCCAUUGGAGAACUCUUGGUACAGCUGCUGGUUUUAUGUGAAACUAUGAGAGUGAUUAUGUAAUAUAUUAUGGAAUCUCAAAAAAGGGUUCUUAUGUGAAUUUCAUUUGGAACGUUUUUGCAAAUAUUUAGUUCUUUACUUUACAGUGUGAAGAUGGAACAAAUUUAAUUAAAAACACAUGUAAUUUACAUUUUUAUUUAUCUGCUUUUGUUGAAUUAUUGGCAUUAAAUCAAGCAAUUAGCAGGUAUUGAAAUUGAUGUUAAUUCAAGCCUAUACAUGUAAUCACCGGAGGAAAUAAAAUUUCAGAGAAAUUUCUUCGACGAAUAGUUCAAAAGGUAUAAAUCUGUCAAUGGUGAUUGUUGAAAAGCAUGCCCACUCAUAUAAGAAAGGAAGGAGGCGAAAAAAUGGGGUUGCGACGCAGCCGUUGACGAGUUCCAUUGCUAUCUUACUUAAUGAGUCAAUGCUACAAAGCUAUUAAAAGAAUUUUUAAAGGGAUAAGUGAAUUCCUGUACAUUGUGAGAAGUCAUCAGAAGUCAUUCAAUACUGAACAUCAUCGAACACAAGUCGUUUAGCUGACUAAUUGCUUGAUUUUUUCAUGAAUGUAUAAGAAUCUCAAUCUGGAAAUCACAAAGAUUAUGAACUGGGAAAUGAGAUUUCCCUUAGAAUAUGUAAUUUUCUUGCUAAUUAGGCCCAGAAAAUCUAACUCAGAAAAUAUAUCUGUUAUUAUGUUGUUCUGUGCAUGGCAGUGUGAAAUUGGUCUCGCUGCAGAAUUAAUUUAAUUCAUAUUCCCAUGUAGGAUUGCAGCAAUCUAUCUAACGCAUUUAAAAUCGGCAGCAUGCAUGAUUAGUUAAGCAGACAACUAUGCAGAUAUUUUCGAAGACAUUUGUGAAAUGUCCUGAAAAUACAACUGUUCAUCAACUAGUAUUAACAUCUAAUUUCUUGUUUAAUCACCAAUCAGAGAAUAAAACAUCACGCCCUUCAAAUGCUUAUACACCCCAAAGUUUGCCACACCUUUCCACUAAUCAGAAACUUGCAAGUUUGAAUCUAUCCCACACCAUUCCUGCAAAUCUCCUACAUUCAGCAACUGCAUGACCUGAAUAAGAGUCCAAUUUCUAUCCAUGAAGAGCAGCAUAGGUUAAGGUAAGUCCGUAGAUAUUACUGAAAAGCACAACAUUUCAGCAACUCAAGUUUUCACUUUUCAAGACCUUAGUUAACAUCGCUAUAAGCAUCUUUACAAACACGAAAUAUUCACAUCUACAAGGCAAGACUGAUAUUCACCAAAUAUUAGCACUUCUCCAGAAAAUUUAGGUGUUGUCUGCAUCAUCAACAUAAAAAUUACAGUUGCUGAUGCUAUUUGGGAUUGUGAUAGCGAUGAUAAUUCGGUUCAAAAUACUUUUCGUUAAGAAAUAUAUAAAAAAAAUAAUAAUUUUUUUUUAUUUUUUAAAAAUCAUUUUGAAAAUAAAAAUAAUCAAUGUUGGUAUGGCCAUUGACUUUCUUAAAGUGAGUUCGUUAUUUCAUUGAAGAGAGAAAAGCCCAGGCUGGCCAUCAACAGACCAAAGGUUUCAUAAGGCCAUAAGGGUUGGGCGCAAUACCCCUUUUGUGUAGAAGAUGUGAUUACAAAAUAUAGAUAUUUUUUAUUUUAAUAUUUUUUUUAUGGAUAUCUAAUAUUAUUUUCAGUAAAAAUUUUAGGAAUAAAUGUUGUGAAGUUAAUAAAACCCUGAACCUCAUUACAAUAAGUCAUUCUCCGCAAUUCUUCGGGUGAAUCUCGAUACAUCCAUGACUUUUAUUGAACCUCUAUAAAAUUAUGAUGACAACAUGUAUUAAUUAACUAUAUUAGGUAUAUAAAUUUACAAAAAUAUUAGUUUACCUCGAGAUUAUCAACAAACUAAUUACAGUUUCUCAUAAAUAUUAAAUAUUAAUUAUCAAUUAUCAACAUUUAUACAAAUUUAUACAUAUAAAUUUAUAAAAAUUACAACUCCACAAUAACAUUAAUAAAAAUUAAAACAAAUCGUUAAACAAGCUAUUAAUUCCCAUGCAACAUCGAGUGAUAGAGAAGAUUUAAAGCAUUGUGAGUUACCCGACUUUACUUGGAGCCAUUUCCACCAUUUCCCCCACAAUGCUCCUUUAACACUUCCGAAACCUGCCUGCCUGUACCAGUAUUGGGGUUGGAUGUCUUUUCUGAAUUUUGAAGGGGCGUUGGUUUUUCUUGAUUAGCAAAAGCGCCAUCAGUUAUUUCACAAGUCACUUCAGAAACUUCAAUGAUUUUGUCUAUUAUAAGUACAUCUGCAUCUUCAGCUGCAUCCUGAUCCUUACAAACAGCAUCCCGGGUCCAAGUUAUACUGAGAACAGAUAAAUCAGCGAAUCAUAUUAUCUUAGACAAGAAGCAUGAGUAACAACAUACAUGCUAAGCUAGCAAAUAUGCAAGAAAAGAGUAGAAAGUUUGUCAGGAAAAGAUUUAUACCUAUUGUUAAUAGCAUCUUCAGAUAAAUUUGCACCGGCAAUUUCUUCUUGCCUCCUUUUCCUAUUGCUCUGACUUUUCCCUGGUUGAGAAUCAACAGAAUUAUCCACAGAUGAGUUGUCAACUCGUCUUUUCCUUCCAGCCUGUGCUGCUAGAUCAGAAAUUGGGUGCGUGAUCCUUUCAUUUGCAACUUCCACGAUAUCAUAAUCAGCAGCACGUGCUUCCUUUGUAAUAUUGCCUUCAGGAGGCACUCCAGGCAUCACCUUUGGCUCACCAUAAGCAUAUCUAAUAGGCUGGCUUUUGUCAAAAAAUUCUACUGACAUAAACUUUUGCCCACAGUAUCCAUUCGAGGUAUCCAAUGUUCCAGCUUCUAAGAGCCGCGAUCCAUUCAAGCACCAACAAUUUAUUCCGAAAACAACAAACAAUAACACUGACACUUCCAGGAACAAACAUUCAUAAACAACCAUCUCAAAAAUUCUAAACUUUCUUCCUCACAGUUCAAGAUCUAAAGGACCCAGUAGAACAAAAUCAAAAACUAAAAAAAAAUUCUUUGCUUAAACCUCGUUUGGGCAACUAGAAAAUGAAGAAAAAAGAGAGAAUGCGAGGGUCAAAGCUUGCAAAUUGAGUUUUCUGAGACUUGUGCAUGAUUAAGAACAAUGAUAUUUGGCCUGGGCUAAUAUGCUUGUGGUUGAGCAUUGUAGAGUGCUAUUAAUAUCCUUAUGUUACUUGGCCUUGGCUAAUAUGCUUGUGGUUGAGCAUUUUAGCAUGAAAAGCCUGUUCAUUGCAUAUCUGCUGUUGUGUUUGUCCUGAUUUACAAGAUAAGGAAAGCGAUUACAGCUGGAUUUUUUUUCCAUGCAGCUAGAAAGGACCCACAGGAGGGUUAUCGGACUUUGGUUUAGAACCAGCCAGUUUAUAUCCACCCCAGCAGUGCUCUUUUCCAGAGAACCAGACUGGGUCAUCUACCAUGAGCUGGUAAUGACUACAAAAGAGUAUGCGUGAGGUCACGGUUAUAGAUCCCAAAUGGCUUGUGGAACUAGCUCCCAGGUUCUUUAAAGUAUCAGAUCCUACAAAAAUGAGCAAGCGAAAGCGUCACGAACGCAUUGAACCUCUCUACGAUAGAUACCACGAACCUAAUUCAUGCCGUUUGAGUAAAAGGCGAGCUUAAUGUGUUUUGAGUUGUUUAUAUCAACUAGUUUUUAAUCUUAAUUCAUUUUUUCUUGCUAUAAACAUGUAGUUGUACAUACUCUCUGUCUUGAAAGUAGAUAAUGUUUUGAAGAGAUCCGGAAACAUUUAUAUCCCUGAAAAUAACAAGUGAGGUCUUCUUGACAUAGAUAUGGCUGUCACUUGUGCAGCCAUUAACAGUUAUUAGGAUCAAUCUAAGAUUGAUUGUGGAAAGUAACUAGUUUAUUAGGUAAAAUCACUUGGAUUCUUUUUUUUUUUUUCCUUUUCGUCUCAAAGAAAGCUCCAGUCCGAGACCGUUUGAGGCUGAGGGAAAGGUACACAUCCUAGUGCUGAGUCAAGAAUUUGGUGUCUGGAGGGCAUUAUACCAAUGGAUAACCAAUGAAAGAUGUAUCUGGCAAGUUGAAAGCACUGUUCUGAGUCCGAAGCCGUUCAUAUGAAGCAAAAAACUUAAACGUUUUCCUCCUUACUAUAUGUGCUGAAAUGUUUAUAUAUCUGCUUAAACUACACGGUUAGGCUAGCAAUUUAAGUGUUUCGCAGAUGGGAACAACAAAUGCAACUAAAAAGAAAUUAACAAAGUGGAACAAGGAACAAUCCAAGAAAUAGAUUCAGCUUCCAUAGAAAAUGAAAUAAAAAAAGACAGAGAUGGCUAUAAUGUCUCCACCAAGACCCAGACCAUAAGUUGACGCGGCAGAGAAUGUCUAUCAAAUAAAGGAAUGGGAAAACGUGUGGGCUAUUGACGACAUUGACCAAGACGACUUGAAGCUCUUCAUAAUUUCCAUUCAGGAAGACUUUUUUCAAACACACUGAUGUCUAUCAAAAGGGCACGCACAAGUAAAUGUCGAAAGAAAUUUAGAGAAACAGUAAAUGGUUAGUAUAUUAUCAUGGGGUUGUGGUUGGGGUUCGACCAAAUUAUUUAUAAUUUAUAAACUAAAUAAAAAAUAAUUAUACAUGCAGUUUUUCAACGUAUCUUUCCAUAAAAAAUGUUUCUAAGUGUAAAUUGAAAAGUUGAUAAAUACAUUUAAUUAAAUAAAUUUAAAAUUAUAUAUAUUAAUAAAUAAUAAAAAAAUAUUAUUAAUAUUUAAAAAUAAAACUAGAAAAAUUGAAGGCUAGAUACAAAUCAAAACAUUUAAUCUUGCAAGACAAUAUGUUUAUGCAGUUAUGUUUACUUCAUUUAUUUAUUAAAAAUAUUUUUUUAUUAAAUCAAAUGAUAUUCAAAACAAGCACACAUAUUAGAUUGAUUAAAUAAAAUAAAAGUAAAAAAACACUAUACAAGACUACAUGUAUUAGAAAUAUUUACGGAAAAUAAACAUUUUUAAUUUUGAAAUUAAAGUUCUUUAGUACAAAAGAUUAAAAAAAAAUUAUACAUUAAUCAAAAUAAUCUUUUUAAAAAUUAAAUACACACAAUACAUUUAAAAAAUAAUCUCUAAAAAAAUUUUAAAUAUGAAAAAAAAAAUCACAAAUGAGGAAUAUUAAUUAAAACAUAAAUUUAAAAAUUAUUUUUUAAAAACAUUAUUAAAAAAAGAUACCAAUAAAAAAAAGCAAUUAAAAAAAAUAAUAGCUUCAGUGUUGUGGCUUAACUCAUCAAACAUGUCAGUCAACCAUGAACUUAACCGGGUUUAAUAAGUUUUUCCUCUUCAAUUUAUAUCCAACUUUUUUAUUAAAAAAAAAACUAGGAGGGCCAAGAGCCCAGGCGAGUUGUAAUGAAGAGCCCAAGAGUGUUGAUGAACCUAGGCUUAUUUUAAUUUCUUGAAGGUCCUUCCCAAUUUUUUGAAAAAGAAAACAACGAGCAACAUGUCAGAUAAUGUGUCGUCUACAAACCUGGAUUUCAACCACCAUUAUGGUGGUCGAAAAAUUAGGGCAUAGAUAUUUUUUUCACAAUACCCAUUUUUUUAGCCAUUUACACUCAAAAACACCUAACCAACACCCUUAUAACAUCUAAAAACUACUCUAUCAACUCUAAAUAUCCAAAAAAUAGCCUAAAACCCGAAAGCAAAUUGGUUUAGCUAUGGUUUUGCUGGCUUAGAUCUAGUUUUUCAUGCAAUAUUAAAACUCCAAACAACCACCAUGAAGUCCCUCGUAUCUUAAGAAACUCGUGUGUCGUGACAUGCACGAUGUCAAAUGACGGAUUUACUACUUGGAAUUGAAGUGGUUUAGGGUUUCAUCAUAAGUUAUUAUUUAAAGGAGUCGACAGCUAACAUCAUGGUCACUAGAAAAUUUAUGGUAUAUGAGAGCCUAAUUAAGGGGACUAGUUGUGCACGAGGAAGACAUGUUACCCCCAGUGCAUCAUACCUAAGGUAAGUUGUAUUAUUUUUUUUUCUAGGUUAUGUUUCUAUUAGUUGGUUUUAUCUAAGGUUUAAAGCAAUUCUUCUUUCGUGAGAAAAUCUCUACCUUAUUGGGUUAAAUCUUAAUCAUUCUAAGAUCCAAAUUUAACAUCACAUUUAUUUUUUAUUUUGUAUCUUUAACACUUGAAGGUAUACUUCAAAAAUAUAGUUUUAUACCCUAAAUAUUAAAGUAUACAACGAAAUCCUAACACUCUGGAUACGAAUUAAACAAAUUAAUUGUUGUGAGAUUUUUGGUAUUUUAUUCUAAUACUAAAAAAAAUUCAUAAACUAGUUACGAUAUAUAUUUUGUAUUUUUAAAACAUAAUAAAAAUGUUAUUUUAUCUUUUAGAAAAUAUGCAUGAAAAAAAAGCCUUUAGGAGUUGGCCAUAUGCUUGAAAACAAUAUAUAUAUAUAUAUAUAUAUAUAUUUUUUAAUUUUUUUUAAAUUUCAAUUAAACUGAGUAUUUUUAAUAUGGAGUUUGUAUUUGCUUAAUGUUUUCCUCCUUACUAUAUGUGUUGAAUUUAUAUUUAUGCUUAAACAACAUACAUAACAAAUGCAAUUAAAAAGAAAUAAAGCAGUUAAACUGGUUAGAUCUUAGGUUUGCUCUCUAGAGGUCACCAAUUCGAGUCCUACAAAUCUCAGGAUCACUGGAGAUUUAUUUGGUAGUUAACUUCAGGGUCCAUGGAAUCGAGAUGCGCACAAACUGAUCCGGACAUCCACGUUAAUAAUAAUAAUACCGAGUAAUAUAUUCAACUUUCAAAUUAUAAAAAGACCAAGUUGACUAUAAUGUCCCCCUCCAGAAUAUAAGUUGAUGCAGAAGAGAAUAUCUAUCAUAAAAGAAAUUAGAUAAUACUUUCUGUUUAAAAAUAUAUUAAAAUAAUUUUUUUUAAAGAUGUUUUUUUAUAUUAAUAUAUUAAAAUAAUUUUAAAAUAUAUAAUUAAUUUUAAAAAAAUUAAUUUUUUUAAACCACAACGGUUAAAAGAAAGGAAAGAAAGAACGUGUGGGCUAUUGAUGACCUUGACCAAGACUUGAUGCUCUUAAUAAUUUCCAUUGACCAAGACUUGCACUUCACGUGGAAGCUGAGGCAUCUUUCUUUUUAAACACUCUAUCAGUAAACGUCCAAAGAGAUUUAAUAUUUAUAUAUAGAGCAAUUGUGAAGUGAAUGGAUAUUCAAAGUUAAAUUACCCGCCAAAUUCUCAUUGCUCUCAAUUAUUACUUCCAUACCCACUUCGAUAUUAUUAUUAAUUUUUAUUUUUUUGUGUGAUCAUGCUGCUGAUAAAGCACGACAAGUCGUUUCACAAUCUUUAUGUGCUUAUUGUGCUUCUGUUGCUCAUGAAACUUGCUCCUGGGUUCAUUUCUGGAGUGAAAGGGGCAACUUUCGGGUGCAUAGAGAGGGAGAGACAAGCCCUUCUCAAGUUUAAAGAAGACCUUAUUGAUGACUUUGGUCUUCUUUCAACUUGGGGAAGUGAAGAAGAGAAGAGGGAUUGCUGCAAAUGGAGAGGAGUUGGAUGUAGCAAUCGAACCGGUCAUGUUACUCAUCUCGAUCUUCACCGGGAGAAUUACAACGGAUAUUACUACCAAUUAAGUGGUAAUAUCAGCAAUUCACUACUUGAGUUGCAGCAUUUGAGUUACCUGAAUCUAAAUGGAAGCCGUUUUGGAGGGAGUUCUUUUCCAUAUUUCAUUGGGUCCCUAAAAAAAUUAAGAUACCUGGAUCUUUCUUCUAUUCAUGUUGAUGGAACUCUUUCAAAUCAGUUUUGGAACCUUUCAAGAUUACAAUAUCUAGAUCUCAGUUAUAUUCAGGGUGUUAAUUUUACAAGUCUUGACUUCCUUUCCAACUUUUUUUCUCUUCAACAUCUUGACCUGAGAGGCAAUGAUCUUAGUGAGACGAUUGACUGGCUGCAAGUGCUUAACAGGCUCCCUCGCUUACAUGAAUUGUUGUUAAGUUCUUGUAGCCUUUCAAUUAUCGGUUCUCCAUCUCUUUCUCUUGUAAACUCCUCUGAAUCUCUUGCUAUCGUUGAUUUCUCUUUCAACGAUCUUUCCUCUUCAAUAUUCCAUUGGUUGGCCAACUUCGGUAACAGCCUUAUUGAUCUUGACCUCUCACAUAACAAUUUACAAGGUUCAAUUCCAGAUGUUUUCACGAACAUGACCUCUCUUAGGACCCUUGAUCUAUCCUCUAACCAAUUACAAGGCGAUUUGAGUUCAUUUGGGCAGAUGUGCAGUUUAAAUAAGCUGUGUAUAAGCGAAAACAAUCUCAUUGGAGAGCUGUCUCAGUUGUUUGGAUGCGUGGAGAACUCAUUAGAGAUUCUACAACUAGACAGAAAUCAGCUUUAUGGUUCAUUGCCUGACAUCACAAGAUUCACUUCCAUGAGAGAGCUGAAUCUCUCUGGGAAUCAACUGAAUGGAUCUUUACCAGAACGAUUUAGUCAACGUUCUGAACUUGUUUUGUUGUACUUGAAUGACAACCAACUCACUGGAUCACUUACGGAUGUUGCGAUGCUUUCAUCAUUGAGAGAGUUGGGGAUCAGUAACAAUCGAUUAGAUGGGAAUGUUUCUGAAAGUAUUGGAAGCCUAUUUCAGCUCGAGAAAUUGCAUGUUGGAGGGAAUUCCCUACAAGGUGUGAUGUCUGAAGCUCACUUUUCAAAUCUCUCCAAAUUAACGGUAUUGGAUUUAACCGAUAACUCCCUAGCUUUGAAAUUUGAGUCUAACUGGGCUCCCACUUUUCAGUUGGAUCGCAUAUUUCUUUCGUCUUGUGAUUUGGGUCCUCCUUUCCCUCAAUGGCUUCGAAAUCAAACUAAUUUCAUGGAGCUAGAUAUCUCUGGUUCUAGAAUUUCAGAUACAAUCCCUAAUUGGUUUUGGAACUUGUCCAAUUCCAAGUUGGAAUUGUUAGACCUUUCUCACAACAAGAUGAGUGGAUUAUUGCCAGAUUUCUCAUCAAAAUAUGCCAAUCUCCGCAGCAUAGAUUUGAGUUUCAACCAGUUUGAGGGUCCAUUACCGCAUUUUUCAUCAGAUACCACAUCAACCUUGUUUCUCUCUAACAAUAAGUUUUCAGCUUCUUUUCGAUGUGAUAUUGGAAGUGAUAUCUUGAGGGUCCUUGACCUCUCAAAUAACCUGUUGACUGGAUCGAUUCCUGAUUGUUUAAGAGGUCUAGUUGUUCUGAAUUUGGCCAGCAACAACUUUUCAGGUAAAAUUCCCAGCUCCAUUGGAUCAAUGCUCGAACUUCAGACAUUGAGUUUGCAUAAUAAUAGCUUUGUUGGAGAAUUACCUUUGUCUUUGAGGAGUUGUAGUUCUCUAGUAUUUUUAGACCUGAGCUCAAAUAAGUUGCGAGGAGAAAUACCAGGUUGGAUAGGAGAAAGCAUGCCAUCUCUGAAAGUCCUUUCCCUACAAUCUAAUGGAUUCAGUGGAAGCAUACCGCCAAAUCUUUGUCACCUAUCAAAUAUUCUGAUCUUGGACCUAUCUCUAAACAAUAUCUCAGGAAUCAUUCCAAAGUGCCUUAAUAACCUCACUUCCAUGGUUCAAAAAACAGAGUCAGAAUCG